CGUCGAUCGCGCGCGCCCGUUUCGCUCGUCGUCCGCGGUUCCGUACGCGUAUUUCGUCGUUCGUCGCCGUCGUCGCCGCCUUCGUGUUUCUCGUCUUGUGCGUCUCUGUUCGAAUAUAAUCGUAAAAAAAAAAAAAUAAUCAAGUUUAUCAAGUGCGAUAAAUUUCACCUCGGGUCGUCCGCGAGAGUUGUAGUGAGUUGCGAGUGAGUGGUUUUUUUUUUCUCUCUUUCGCGCCGUCCGCGAGAUUGAAUACUGUCACGAUGACCGGACCGCAGCCGCCGCCGUCGACGUGUUUCGCCGGACUCUGAUCGAAAACUGUCCCGUCGGCCGGGUACGCCAGCUGUAAAAAUCCGGUUCGUAUUUCGUGAUUAACCCUUCCGACCUAACCGUCCGUUAUAUGACCGCUCCGUGACGGCGAAAAAAUACCGAUUUCCUCGGAUUUACCGGGCGGGGUUGUCGUCGUUUCUGGAGAGAACGAAAAAAAUUUAAAUUAAUUUUUCAAAAGGUACAAAAAAAAAAAAAUCGAAUCACUCGCACAAUUGUUUUCGCGAAACUUUCGCUCGGGAGUCUACGCGCGUUACUAUAGUAUAGGUACGGAACGCCUCGCGUAGAAUAAUUGACGGUUUCCGAUCGGGAGGGGGGGGUUUUUUUUUCCCGUCCCCGAGUCGAAAAAAGCUCAGACGAUGUCGCGUGUACCGGACGUCGAUUUUCGAAAAUGAAAUUAUUUCACACACCGAUCGAUAAACGAUUAACGGCAGAACACAACUUUACGAAUACGGGUUCGAGUGUACGAAAAAUAUGAAAACCGCACACGCUCGCUCGCUGUGAAAACUUUGCGCGCAUAAAAAAAACAUGAAAAGUAUAACGUUCCGAUACCCAAUAUAACGUACAAGCGAUCGUGUUUUUUUUUUUUUUUUUUUUUUUUUUCCGUAAUCGUUUUAAAAUAUCUACAUCGAAACGACAAGAGAUGAUUUCCACGACAGUGCUAUAGGUGAACAUUAACGGUUAACGAGGCGAAAGUGUAAUUUUAAUAACCGGCGGCUAUUUUCGUUAAAGGUAAAAAAAAAAAAAAAAAAACAACACAAUUUUCUUCAUUACCUACACAAUGAAACUAAGCACGUCCGGACCUCAUUAAGACCGCGGGACCGACGCGUCGCUUCACAAUUUAUUCAUUUACUGAACCGCGUUGUUAAAAUCGUUUUUAAACGUUUCGCGCAUUAUUUCCAAUCGACUGCAUAAAAUUGAACACGAUUUAUUAUCAUCGGUUAGACGAUCCAAUUGUCUUUGCCGGCCAACUCGUUUCUCAUUUGUCCGAAUUAGAUCAAAAGACGAUAGGCCCGUGGCCGCAGAUAAAACACGUCGCUCGGCGACCAGCGAGUGUACUUGUAUUACCGAAAUUCGGCCUUUUUAUUACGAAACGUUUUGCCGGACGGGCCGGCGCGCCGCCCGAAAGAUUUCUGAACUGCUGCUGCCGUCAUAUGCAAAAACGCCGUAAGCCGUUGGACAUCGUUUUUUGCGAAAAACGGGUUUGUAUGUUUUGGACUUUUUAAAAUUCGUCACACCACUUACGUUUUACCUACCAAACGUACGGUGCGGAUUUCCAUGUGAUAUUUCACCUGACAAAUGCGACGACAUGAACAUAGAUAAAUUCUGAAGUGCUCGACUAUUUACAACUGUUCCCAUAGUAUUGGUGUUCAGAACUGUACCGAAUGGACUCGUGAAUAGAAUCCGUUAAAAACAACCGACGAAUAACCGACAUUGUAUCGUUCUGUAAAGUUUCCAUAUUAUUAUAUUUUGACGAUUUGUCGGUUGCAAUGUUGCGAUAAGUAAAAGCACAAUCCGCGUUCAGCAUGAACGCCGCAAAUUAUUAUUUUUAUUAAACACUGAGCGAAAAUUCCGGAUCUUCGUUAAUAUAUACGGCGUUUUUACAUGGUAAAAAUGUAUUUUUCGACCAUUUGCGGCAUUCCGUCAAAACCAAUAUCGCUAAUAGUCGUUUUCUAAAAUAACGUUUCAGACGUAUGACGGCGUAUUGAUACAAGACGUCUGAAUUUUCUUUGAUGUAAAUAACUCAAACAAUAAAUGUAUACAAAUGUACAUUUUGAUGUAAAUAAUUCGUUUUUCAAUUGUUUCGGACUCGCGGCGUUUUUGCUUAGGACAACAGGAUACUAACCGUAUAAUAAAGACAGGUAUAGUUUGUUUUUAUCUUUUUUUUUUUAAUUUUUUAAUCGCAUGCAAAAACGAUUGGCGUCUUAUUGGCCCGCGGGGAAAACGAACGUUUCGAUAUUAUGUCUUAAUCGACGGGAAAAAUUCUCAACUCGUGUAAUUAGACGAGACUGCGCUGUCGUAAAAGAAAAAAAAAAUAUGCGAUAAUUCGGGAACGCCGGAUCACAUCUGUGACCGCAUCUGUUCGCGACGACCGUAAAACGAUUCUCAGCCGAAGCCGCGGCGAAACGCGCGUUUUGACAUUUCGCGAUUCUCGCGAGGUCAAUUCAAUAUACUCGUGUAAAACAAUAUCAAGCACGUAUGACGGCGGUUCUGUAAAAAUAUCGAUUCGUUAUAAUAGAAAGAAAAAAAAUAAUAAUAAUAACCACGCGCACUCCACGGAGCGUUCCCGAGUUUCGUGUCGGCGUUAGGUACACGCACCGGUUUCGGUUUCGCGAACUGUAAUACCAUAUCGUCAAGUAUAAGUGCCGCAAAGUCAACAUUACAAAACGCCGACGUAGACAAAUAUUAGUUUGAUACAAUGUAUUAUAGGAGAGCGGCCGACGAUUGUUUAAAACGAGACGAGAACCGAUACGCGACAGCGGGGCUCGUGAAGUUUUUACGUCGAGCUCUUUCUCGCGGCGUGUUAAAAACCGGAAACGCAUUUUCCACGAGCCGUAACGUUUGUAAAUUCGGAAUUUAUUUUCGAAUACGGUGUUUAGAAAAAAACGCACGACAAAUUCUGCAGUAUGUCGCGCGUAAAUGCGAACGGUUUCGGUUUGUAGAAAUCGUCGCCGGCCGGAAAAAAAAAACGAUCGGUACGCGACCGAUUUUAAAAUAAUCCGAAUAAGAAAUGCGCACGGGAAAAAUUACUACUGAAUUUUGUUCGCACGAAGCGAACGAAUUUAUGAUCGGAAAAUAUUGCCAACCGCGCGGAAUAUCUAAAAAAUAUUUGCUGCAUAAAGCGCACUUAUCGAAAUCUGUCUGUCUGUUUGGAAAACGGAUUCCAACGUUUUGAACGUUGUCUUGACCACUCGGUGUUACGGCUCGUUGGAAAUUGAUUACGAAAAAUGUACAAUAUGACAAGAAUCGGACAAUAAUAUAAUUUCCAUUUUUCCAACCCUCUCCCCUGUUGCAUUGUUUUUAGUUAUUGUUGUACCUUUCCCCUAUAUUAUAUAGAGCGUACCGCACUUUCGUUAUUGGUUUUCUAUAUUAAGUUUCGCCGUCCUCGAUUUUCCGCCACUCGACUUUCGACACGUUUUAAUUCGUCGACCAUUUUAUAAUAACAUAACAUAUACGUUUUUUUUUUUUUUUUUUUUUUUUUAACGUAAGUACCUUGUAUUUAUUUGUUAGGAUUUCCAUUCAUUUCUCCACGUAAUACGUCCAAGUUUACAAUAAAAAACUUAACACUGUAUAGUAUAAAAUUGCACCGUUGAAUGUAUAAAUAACUGCUCUGUACCUAUAUAACAACAUAAUAAUCCAUUCAUUUUUCCGACAAUGCAUUCUGCAAUGUAAAGAACAUGGAAUUUUAGCAUUUUUUUUUUUUUCGUUUUCGACUGUAAUAAUAAUAGUUGAUUGUAGCGCGUAGGAUUUUCAAUGGAAUAACCAAAAAAAAAAAAUAUACAUAUAUAUAUACGAAACCGCAUCGUGUAGGAAUCCGUGCGCGUAUAAAAAAAAAACAAACACAUAAUAUACGAAAUAUCGAUUUAUAAAGCGAAUUUCGUGACGGACCGUGCGAUAAUCGUAGGCAUAUUAUGUUUAUUCGCGAACAAAUUGUUGUUUUUUUAUUAUUUUAUUAUUUUUUAUGUCACGUUAGAAAAUCGCGCGUUGAUAUUUUUUCCGGCAUGAUGAUGUAUGCACGCUACAAGAUGUGAAUUCAGAACGGAAUUAGAUUGACAAUUUAUUAAGAGGACGCUACACACGAUGCAUUCAUCGUCUACGUCCUAAAAAAAAUCGGCACAGCCAAAUUUCGCGGUAGAACCGAUUCUCCGCUGAUAGUUUUAAAAUUAGAGUGAAUUGAUUUACAUCGAAUCAAUCAGGGAAGAAUAUUAUCCGUAUGGUUUUUCUUUAUUUUAAUUUUUAAGAGGGAUAAAUACAUUUUUAUAUUGUGAUAUUCACACAGCCAUAUUUCGCUUAAAAAUUUAAACAAUGAAAAGAAACCAAUGGAUGAACACAGCCGACAAUGUACUCGCCUUUAAGUUUGAAGUCAAUUCAUUAUAAUAUUAAAACUAACAGCACAACAAAAUUUGCUUUGCCGAGCGCAAAUCUUUUAUGAUAUGCGUUCAGCAGGGACAACUCUAUGCUGUCAGUUUUAAUAUUACAGUGAGUUCACUUAUUAUCAAACACGAAGAUAAGAACAUUAUCCGUGUCGUGUUGUCGUUUGUUUUUUCAGCGCCCAAGUUUUAAAACGAAAUUUGAGCGCGUGAAACAUGCCGAUUCGAAAAUGCUUACAUCUCGCUCAAAAAUUAAACAACGAGCGAAAAGACCGACGGCACGACAUAUGUAGCUAAUGUUCUUAUCCUUAAGUAUAAUAAUAGGUCAAUUCGCUUUAAUAUUACAACAAACAGCACAGAAUUGUCCCGGCUGGACUCGAAAAUUGUCUACACGCGUCGUGUGACGGAGACAGCACAUAAUGCGGGUAUGGCGACCUCUUAACAUUGAACAGUUUGUACCCGAAUUUCCGACCCUACGUAUCACUAUAAUACAGUAUACGUUUAUAAAAUACUGCUGUGUGAAAAUCGUUUGUUUUUUUUUUUCUACCGAUAACGAGGUACUUUGACGGUUUAUAAUAUUACGCAGCCGCAGCUGAUGAUCAAUUUUCCGUAAGACGUUCGUAACGAUAAUUUCAUUGAAAAUAUUAUUAUUUUGUUUUUUAUAGUUUUCUUUCUAUACAUUUCGGACACACACUGCACGCAGUCCUAAAACGUUCAGUUUCUAUACGCCCUUAAAUAUGUUUUGUUGCGGUGAGACUUUAGUGCCUUAUAUACUUAGACUUAUUUUGAUUUUCAAAUAGCGACCUCUAUAUUAUUGUAAUAUAUUGAAAAUACCAAAUAACGAUUAAGUUAUUCAGUUAUAGAAGUGAUAUUAGAACGUUCCCAUAAAAUCCGUCCGUAUACCCACUGCGCAAUAAUUUAUUAAUAUUUCGAAUAAAAAUAAUUGACAAUAAGGAAUCAAGAACAUUUCGCAGAUUAUAAAACGUAUGUAUCAUGAAUGCAAUUCGUAAUCUAGUGAUAAUAUCUACGAAUGCUGCCUCAUCAAAUGUAUACGAGUAAACGCUGCUUAUUUCAUUAGUUGAUGUACAGGUAGGCGUAGCUCGAUAGGUUAGGAAACGUUAGGAGUCGACUAGUCACGAGUUCGAACCUGGCCGGAACGCUAGAAUUGUUUUGCGUUUUUGUGGAUUUUUUUUCGGAUGAAUUUUUAAACGGUCAACCAGUACAUUUUUUCGGUUCAAAUAAGUUUUAUGCGGUGUAAUUAAUAUGCAUUAAAACGGCCAUAGAGUUCAAUGAUAUCUAAUCAUUCGUUAUUACCAUAAAGUAUUGAAAGUACAACAUUCAUUAAAUGUUUAAAAUAAAUAAAUAAUAUUUUCUAUUUUCGUUGUUACGAAAUUGGUCAGAAAUACUUGUGUGAAGUUUGCAAAAACUAAACAAGUCAAUGUUAUUAAAUUUUCGAACAAUAAUAUUAUUAUUUAUAAUGUAAAACAGUAUCGUAAAGUUGCUAUUAUUUAUUUUAAAACGAUAGAUUUUCAAAAACUAUCCCGAAGGUAGUCAAUAGUAGAUGUAGUUGCGCAAAGUAUACUGAUAAGUAAUUGCAUUUAUAGCGAAUUUUAAUUGCUUUGUUUUAUUUUUAUUUUUUAAUCGUCCGCGCACUCAGAAUAGCACAAAACUAUGGGCAGUAAACGAUUUGCAAACAAAAAUACAUAUAGUAGUUGGCGGUGACUGGAGAGUAGUGGAUCAUCAUUUGUGUGACGGCUCAGCGUGAUGCGUUUGUGAAUAGUACUCCAUUACUUUACUGCUAUCCAAACUUAAAAGUGAAAUAUCUCGUCAACGGGUAAAAGGAAAUCAAAAAUAUCGACUCGACAAUGUAUUUGAACUCCGUGAAUUUACGGAAUUUAUAUUAUCGACUGCCGUUUGAAAACCAAAAGUAGGUAGUCGUCUCACUUCUAAAAUUAAAGGCUACGAAAAACGUUUGUAAUGUAACGUUUUAUAUAGCUGCUGGUUAUUUUUUUUUUAAAUUACUGUGAAAAAUAAAUUCCAAAAAAAGUUAAUACAUUCCAAGAUAUCGAAACGGGCAUACAUCUUCGUGGAGCAUCCCGUAUAGUGCAAUUGCCUUGCUUUACCGCAGGGGUGUACAAAAAAAAAAAAAUAAAUAAAAAAACACACAUACUUUUCUCCCUCAACAACAUGGUGGAAUUCAACGAAAAUUGUUUCACUUAAAUAGGCCUACGGAACAACUCUAAUUCUGUUUUUGAGCUCAUUCGGUCCUGAGGGAGCCACUAAAAGUAUCCAAAAGUAGCGGGGAUAAGAUGUGUAAUAGACCUGUAAUAUAGCGCAACCAUCUCUAUUUUCGUGGAAAAUUCGGCCGAAAAAACCGGGGGGUAAAAAACCUUUACACACCGUCGUAAAACCAACCGUCCGAGAUACAUUCAAUAUUUCAGGUCACAUACAUUGUACGCUGAACGAAGGAUAGUUUUUCGUUAUAAUCGUAAAUUAUUGAUAUUCGACGCGAGGUUAUACUCUCGUUUUGAGAUUAUAUUUUCGUGUCCGGCUUCUGAAAAAAAAAUAAAAAUUAUAUAUUUUAUUAUUAAUUAGACGUAUACAGACGGACGGAAAAUAAAUUAUAAAUUAUAAUUACAUAAUUACCUACCUGAUCAAAAGCGUGAUAAACUAUUGAAGAACAGAGAGAGUCAAUAUAGGUAAUUAUCGAAACAUUUAAACGGCCGUUUAAUUUGACAUCAAAGUUUUGUGAAUAUUAUUUUAAUAAUUUUUUUUUUUAAACAAAUAUUGAAGUCAAAUCUAAAGUACCUUUUUUUUAAGGAACGUUAAAUUUUUGUAGUUAAUUCUUUAUAAUAUUUAUACGCAAGCCAAUGAUCGACAGAAUCAUGGAUUUUCGAUAUUUUAAGUUGGUAUUAAGCGCGGCGAUCAAGGGCGUCCGUAGGGACCGUGCCCUCCCCCACGACAUCAAACUAUCUAUUAAUAAUAAUUACUUUCAAAAAUCUGUGUAGAAUUUCAGAGUGUUAACGAAUUAUAAUCACGGCCUCUGUAGAUAGUUGUGCUAUAACAUUAAGCGGCCAGUGGUCACAUUAGUUAAAUGUAUAAUUUUCAUGAUCUAACAAAAGGAUGUUGCCCCCCCUUUCUAGAAUACUAAUCAAUUCCGCCACUGGUUGGUAUACAAAUAUGUUAUAAUUGUAAUGUUGAUAAUCCGUUUGAACCUCGGAUAAUACGAAAACAACUAUUGAUAGACCUGGUGUUGUUAAUGCCAACAGAACGGCUGACUCUUCCCAUCGAGGAGCGCAGCGUUUACAUUUUGUUUGUUGUUAAGAACCGAUUUGAUAGAUAUCAAAUUUAAAAAUAAAAUGUUUAUUACUAUCUACAUAUUAAAAUUGAUGAAAAGCCACAGUGAAACAUAUGAAAAUAAAUUAGUAAUACUUACCAGAACCGUUUAGCAGUACAUUUUCCAAGCACAGUGUCGACUUCGUAUCGGGUUAUCGGUAUCGUUGACCGACACUAACAGAGUUUGAUCAAUUUCCCGUUUUACAUUUCAAUAACACGAAUAAAUUCGAACAGUAUACAAAACAAUAUUAAUUAAAUUCGGCUUUUAUCACGAAACAAAACGUAAACGUGGACCUUUUUAAUAAGAAAAGUCGGUCAUUUUGUCGACUUCAACGUUCUACACUAAAUGGUAUUGAUGAGGGGAGAGGAUGGGAGGCAGCUAACUAGUUGUUUAUAUAACUGUGGUUAAAAACAUAAACAAAACAAGCACAACUUUCUUUUUGAUAGAAACGCGAAUAUUUGUGCGAGUUCGGAGGGAUGAAAAUAUUGUCGACAAUUUGCACUGUGUACAUUAGGUCUCUAUAUACAUUUUUACGCUUAUAAUUAUUAUAUUUCUAAACGAUUUUGACGUACAGAAAAAAAAAAAAAAAAUGGAAAACCCGCUAUAAAUCAAUUAUUUCUGAAACGUAUCCAACAAUAUAAUGACAUUUUAUUUUUUUACCGCAAGGUAAUAUAUUAUUUAUUGUGUACGACGAGGUGUGUUUCGAAAACGAGUAUACGUCUUUAUUACGCGUAUUUUGGUAAGUUUUGACAAAUGGAUUGGUUCGGAGGACGGCGGCGGCGUUAUUAUUACCUAUAUUUAUUAUUGUUUCGUUGUAUUUUUUUUUUUUUCUUAUCGAUUCGGACGGCGUUUUUUUCAUCAAAGAAAACGUUUUCACGGCGUUUGAGGGGGAGGGGAGAGAAAGAAGGCCUCCGAGAAGGGUUUACGUUUUUUUCGAAAAGAAAUGUUUUAAUAUUAUUUCGAACUUUGAAAACAAAAUUUCCGUUCUCCCUUCCCCCGAGUCUGAAUAGUUACAACCUUGUCGCCCGCAGCGGUGACGGUAUUUGUUACGCUUGUUCAACGAGGUCGUCCAAUUUUUUAUAAACGAAAUAGUAUACGGUGUUUUUUUUUUUUAAUUGGACAUUAAUUGCCAAUAUCUCAAUUAAUCGAACAUUUUCACUAGUGAACAAUUUUACAUCAAUAUUAUUUUUAUGAAUUUAGUUUGAUUUUGGCAAGCAAUUUGAGUAAAAUAUUUUUUAGGAGGUAUGGAAUUUCGAAAAAAAUAUUCUUGGAUUUUUAAAUUGUUCGUGGUGUGAUAUUUUUUAUUUUCGUUAUCACUUAUAAACGUUCGACGUUUUCGAUACUUAUAUACAUUACUAGUUUAUCGUCAUAAGUUUUUAUACCGAUUUCAAAAUGCAUUCGUUCACCCUUUUCUGUCAACACCCUUCAAAUCAUGUCAACGCAAUACUCUAACAUCUGUUUACCGAACGGUUAAAAAACGACCUACGAAAUCCGUAUGUCGGGCAAUUAAUUAUUAAUUAAUAAUACGUUUGUAGUUGUAGUUGAAGGCGUUUUUUCCCUCCAGCAUUGAAUGCCCGACAUAAUAAUAGCAAUAUUACUAAACUCGAUCGGUUUUUUGAAUAUGAACAAAAUAUCGCGUAAAACAGUGUUAACGGAGAACGAGUGCUCGUGUAAAAUUAUUAUUUUUUUCGUGCGGGUAAUAUGACAGAAAUCCGUAUUAUCCGAAAAUCCGGAUGGUGAAUUUUUUAUAUCAAAAUUUUCUUCCGGAUUCCGGAAAUCCAGUGUAACCGUUGAUUUUGACUACCCAACGAUUUGUACGGGAAAAGUCGAACAUUUUUUCCGAAUUCAACUACCGUUUUUUUCGACUCCUUGAUGGAAAAUCGAUAGCUCUUGGUCUAUUUCGACUAUUUUCUUUUUACAAUUUUCCCUAACGCUCACUAAUUUUGUUCUACACAUUUUUUUACUAUUUUUACAAUUUUAAUUAAAUAGUUGAUUACCUUGCAUAUUUGUUUUUAUUGACGAAAAUAAAAUAUAACAUAGAUAGGUACUAUUGUAAUUAAUUUUAAUUAAAAAUUACAUGUUUAUAUGACUUUAAAAAUGUUUUUUAUUACUAAAUAAAUAUAUUAUUAUGAUUUAUGAGACCUUUCUUUGAUACGAUUAUUAUAAUAAGUCGUAUUUUUACGAUAGGUACUAUUUGAGUUAUUUUUUUUUCUGUUACAGUUUUAAUGUGUCAAUUUAAUACCUGUACAAAGACGGUAAUUUGUCCCAUGUAUUUCUCAUUCUGACUUAGAUUCAGAGAAUGGAUUGAUUUUACAACGAUGUUUAUUUUAUUUUAUCUUUUUCUGUGAACACCUUUUCUGCCAGUAGUUUUGCUCCGAUUAUCAAGUGUAGUACAUUUUUUGAAAGGGAAUUUUUUAAGGGUGGUAACUUAAGCACACUAUUUUUUAAUUUUCUUAGUCAUUUUCAUAACAAUUAGAAAAAAUCAAGAAAAAACAUUGGUAAAACGGGAAAAGUACAUACAUAAAUGAAACUUUUCUCGGAAUGGGUUUUUUUGUCGGCAAUAAUAGCGAUCCCCCACCUAUGAGCAUUAUCGUACCUAAGGCUUUUUGUAUAAUGUAUGCAUAUAUAUAAUGUCUUUAAUUUUAGGUUUUUAAAUAUUUUUUUUACAAAUUUUGAUAUUUAAUUACCUAGUUAUUAAUUUCUAAAACAAUUGUUCUUUAUUUACCUGAAUAAAUUAUGCAAAUUAUAAAACAAAUCGAAAUUAUUAUUAAUGCAUAAUAAAAAAGAAACUGGCAAAAUUACUGGUAAAAAAGGUGUUCACAGAAAAAGACAAAAUAUAAUAAACAUCACUGUAAUAUCAAUACAUUCUCUGAAUUAAGUCAGAAUAAGAAAUACAUGGAACAAAUUACCGUAUUUUUACAGGGACUAAAUUGACACAUUAAAACUGCAACAGAAAACAUGUAGUAUUUAAUUAAAAUUAAUUACAAUAGUACUAACCUAUGUGGUAUUUUAUUCUCGCUAAUAAAAAAAAUAUACAAGGUAAUCGACUAUUUAAUUAAAAUAGUAAAAAUAGAAAAAAAAUUAGAAAUGUAUAGAACAAAAUCAGUGAGCGUUUAGGAAAAUUAUAAGAAGAAAAUAGUCGAAAAAAACCAAAAGAUAUCGACUUUCCGCCGGGGAGCCGAAAAAAACGGAAGUAGAAUUCGGACAAAAUUUUCGACUCCCCUACGAAAUCGACUCUCCCAGUACAAAUUGUUACGUAGUCGAAAUCUACGGACACACCGGGUUAUCGAACCUCGAAAAGUCAGGAUUUUUCUCAUGACUUAUAGAAAUAUUAUAAUCGUCGUGACCCGGAACAAUGUCUGCUAAACGUCGGUAUUUUUCGGACGUGAUAUAAUUUCCAAACUAAUUCGUUUCCGCUCGAGUUAUUUUUGUAUUUAAACAGAAUAAAAUAUUGUCAAAUAAUAUUUUUUCAGCUUUCCCCCACCCCUUUUUUUUCGACCAAACAUUCGAAAUCGUAUUACGCAAUACGUCCGUAGUCGUGCAUUUUCCUUUUCCCUAUAUUAUAAUAUCGCGGCAGUGUUAUGACGACAAUAAUAUUACAUACAAAUGCAUUUUUUCGCCCUUUUCUGUCAACGGCACCCUCUGAAAUCACGUCAACGGAAUAAUAUAACAUCUGUUUACCGGCCACCGUCGCGCUUGUCGAAAUCCAUAUGCCGGACUCGAGAUUCUAUUAUGGGCGUACACAGUACGCGCGUAUAAAAAAAAUAUUAUUAAUUAGUAGUUGUCGUCGACGGUUUUUUUGUAAAAAAAAUGUUUUCAUUUAGCACACCGGGAUGAAAAGACGUAAACCAUGGCCUUUGACAAAAAUUAACGGAGGGCCGCGUUCGAAUUAAAUAAAUUCGCCGACUUCGGCAAACCUAUCGCGUGUACCGGUACCGUCGAAAAAUAUUUUUGUUUCCUGCAUUAUUUUGUUUGUCGAUGAACAAUUGUUGUUAGGAAACAAGAUUGUCGGCGGUACGUUAGAUAUCUAUAUUUUGUGUCUUGCACGGGGUGUUUCAUAUCUUUCGGAUGGUUUGUCGGUAUCCACCGCAGUGUUUAUAGAGAAAUAGAAAUCAAUUACACAAAAAUGAUCGGAAAAACGCGGCACUCGUUCGAAAAAUGACAAGAACCGUUUUCCGAAACACGGCCCGGUCGCAUAUUAACAUACUAUUAGUACCAUAGUAUACUGCACACGGUUUACCGAUGUGGUUUUGCGCAAACAAAUCGCCGGGUUUGUUUUCGAUUAAUUUCUUUCGUCCGUCCUCAUCCGUUCCACUUCGCCGAGCAUUUAUGCGAUUGCAAAUGUUACAAAUUUAAUUCACGGCGAAGAAAUUACGCUUUCGGACCGUUAUAAUUAAUCCUUAUCAUUAUUUGUCUUUAUCGUUAACUACCGUUUAUCCACCACACGCGAGCGGUUCACGGUUCGCGGACCGUGCAUAUUCGUCGAGUUUUUUUUUUGUAUUUAAAAAUUCGUCGGUCCCUUUGGUUUUUUUUUUUGGUGAUUGAUCGUCCGAUCUUUCGCGAACGGUUCCGGGCCGAUUUCGGACCUCGAACCGCGAACACCGAAUAACAAUCAUAACCGUAUAACCGUCGUUAUUGUUGCGUCGCGUCCGAUCGUAGGCGCAAAUAGGGGAGGGUCUCCGGGGCGACUUGUCCUUUCCCGAAAAUCCGACCUCCCGCCCGACGAAGCCUGACCGAUGCGUUACGGUGCGUUAAGUCCCCCACCCGCCGAAAAAAAAACCAUUUAUACCGGCAAUUCACGCCGUUCGAUUUUCGUUUGGGAAACGAAAUUCGUAUAAUAAUGUUAUUAACCGCCGUUUCGGGAUUUUUGACGCGCGGACCCACCCGUUCGGUCCGCGCGCCUUUACCGCCGCGUUCGCGUAUUAUUAUUCGAUCGCACCGCGGCGACGGCGAUUAUUGCGCGCGAAUAAUGGCCGCGACCCCACCGGUGUGGCCGUCGUUGUUAGCGGACGACAACAGCAAUAAUAAUAAUAAUAAUAAUAAUACAAAACGACAAGUACGCCGGGCCCGUAACCGCAUCUCUAGCGGAACCGCGAGGGGGGGGGGGGGGGGGGGCAAANNNNNNNNNNNNNNNNNNNNNNNNNNNNNNNAAAAAAAAAAAAAAAAAAAAAAAAAAAACGAGCGUUGCGAAAUAAUAAUAAUAUAAGAAUAAUGCGAUUACAAAUAGCGUACGUCGGUCGUACGCGAUAACGCGCGGACGAUUUUUUUUUUUCCCCCCGGGCGAAAUCCGAACGGAUUGCAGUAUUUUCGGCCGUCGACUACGCGGUCCGUUCGCGACGGUCCGUACCUGACGUAGGUGUCCAGGGCCACCGUUCGAAAAUAAUACGCGGGAUUUUUUUAUCGUCCUAGGUGCAGGCGCGGGGGAGUAGUGUUGAUUUGUACGCUCUGACACGCGGCAAAACGACUCGCGAUAGAACGUACAAAAUAUUAACACUGCUUUUGCAUAUAUUUAAAAUAAGAGAUAAAAACAGACGGACGUACUUCGCACGUGGGCGCAGCCACUGUUGUAGGCGGGAAGUUGAAAAUCUAAAUAGGAAACGGACGGGAAUUUAAUAGUUAAUUAUCUGCGAGUCAGCAACGAUAUUCAGUUGCUAACGGAUAUACGAUUCUGAUCGGAGUUCAUUUGAUAGUGUUGCUUUAUCAACAAUUUAUAACAUGUCAUAUUAUAUGAAAUAAUGAUAUCAACAAUGUGCGUGUCCGUGGCAACAAUGAUUGUUUGAAAAAAAAAAAAAUAAUAAAAACUUAACAAUAACAAUAAAUAAAUAAAAACGGUUGCCAAUGACAACCUUAUUUUUAAUUUGGGAAUCUUUUUUAACCUAAAGAACCAGGUGUUCUCAUUAUCUCGAAUAUUAACGACCUGUUUAAAAGUACCACCCAGGGAACAUUUCCUUUUAGAAAAGGUGCUAUACUUGAUAAUCGGAGUAAGCUUAUUGGUAGAAAAAGUGUUCACAUAAAAAAAAAAUAACAAAAAAAUAAACAUCAUUGUAAAACUAAUACAUUCUUCGCUCCUCUCACAUAUUAUUUUUAUACACAGAGUGAUAAAUCUAUCGUAAAACUCUCAUUAUCUCAGAAAACAUUAACUUUUUUCAGAAUUUCGUUUACAGAAUCAAGAAGUUCUACAAUUAUAUAUUUAUGUUAUUUUUUUAUCAUUCUUAUUGUCGAAGGUAAAUCCACUAUUUUCUUUUGAUUUAUUUUUUAACGGAAACCUAGAUAUAUUAGGAUUCCACGGACAGGUAGAUGAAGUAUUAGUUAAAAUACAUUUUGGCGUUGGCAUUUUUGAUUUCCGUCAUUCCGUUGACGAUAUUUUUCACUUUUCAGUUUGGGUCGGGGGAGAGUAGUGACAGAUUGAUCACCCUGUACAUGCAAUAUGAUUAUCGUGUGUAGACAAAGUGUAUUAUUCGUAACCAUUUUCACAGGUACAUGAAGUCAGGUUGAGCCGAUUUAGUCAAUUUGUAUCCCGGCGUUUUUUUGCUUGUAUACCAAACGCUCACUGGUUUUAGGCAGAUAUUCUCUAAGUAUUUUUAAAAUACAAUAAUACAUUUUAUCCUACAACAAUAAUAAAAGUAUUUUAAACGCAAUUAAAAAAAAAAAAAAAUAAUACCAUUGAGCAACGGAAUUCCGUCACUUGAAUCGAAUCUUAGAGCCACCGAUAUAUAUUUCUUUAUUUUAAAAAAAAAUUGUAUACUUUGUCUAAAAUACACGAAUUAAAAUUCCAGAGUUUUAUUACAAAAUUGUUAGUCCAUAGGGAUAUUUAAAACCUCGGCAUUUUUUACGAAGACAUGGAAUUUGAGCGGAAUCUCCGUUGUUAUGGACGGAGUUGAACAUUAAACUCCCCAAAGCCGCGGAUAUGACAGUUACACCGUGAUGGACAUACACAAAAUGUCAUUCUCCUGGCUCCAUCCGGAGGCUCCGUUGAGGUGUACGAAACUAAAAAAAAAACACACUGCUCCAGCAACAGAAAAAUGAAAUUUAUAAGGAAAUUCAACGAAAAUGUUAUCACUUGACAUUCGCCAAAAAAAAAAAAAACAACGUUAAUUCCGCGGUUUGAGAUCGCCUGGUAUAUACGAGGGAGCCGCUGAAAGUGUGCAAAAGUAGAGGGGAUAUGAUAAUGUGUAACGGGCAUGCAAUAUAGCGAAACUGUCUUUAUUUUCGGGGAAAAUUUUAACGAAAAACCGCGGGGAGGGGGGGGGAGGAAACCCUGACACACCGUCGUUAACCCAACUGUCCGGAAUAUAUUCAAUGUUUCAGGUCAUAAUGAUACAUAAUAUAAUAUAAAGGUUAGUUUUUCGUUGUAAUCGUAAAUUAUUGAUAUUCGACACGAGGUUAUAAUAUGCGCGCUUUGAAGUUGUAGUUUUGGAUUCGACUUCGUAAAGAGAAAAGUCGAGACGUUUUAUUAUUAAUUAGGUAUAUAUAUAUAUACACCGACGGGAAAUAAAUUAUAAAUUAUAAUACAAAAUAUAAUAUAUGUUUCUAUAAUUUCGUGAUUAAUAUUUUAGUAAUAACUUGACUAUUUUCUUUUUACUAACCCGAUUGAUAUAUAAAUAUAUAGGGUUACAUAGUUUAUAACCCAAUGUCAGCAACGAUAAUUUUUUUGAAACCAUUCUGAGCGGAAUAACGUUAAACACUUUGUUUGAACAAUUUAAAUCGCGUUAAUUUGUCACUGAAAAAUAAAUUAUAAUACAAGUUCAAUACAAUGUAAUUACAAUUACAAUAUUAAAUCAUAAAUUUGAAUUUAAGACACUUAAAAAAAAAAAAAAAAAAAAUAAAGACUAUAGGCUCGUUUUUUAUUUUUAUUUUAACAAAAUUGAGCAUCUUAUCUUGUAUCAAAUAUUCGAUCAUUUUUGAGAAGUCAAAAAAUCGCAUCUGCAUAAAAUUAAAAAUAUUCGAUCAUUUCAACGAGGUAUGUAUAUAACUUAAACCGUACCAUGGUAUCUAUAUAAUUGGACCACGUCUGAAGAAUACUUAUAAAAGUUUUCGGAGGAAAUUUAAUGUCACCAGGAAUACUUUUCGCUGAAUCACAAAAUAAAACAAAAUCGAUUUUAACAGAAGCCGCUGUACCGUAAAUAUAUCCGGUUUUCUUUCAUUAUUAAAAGAAGUAAAAAAUCAAAAAAAUCAAUGAGACAAAAUUGUCAAACAAAUCCAUUCCUGGUAUUGAUGAUCGCAAUAAGAUUUCUGGUUCAAAAUUAAAUUUUCAAUUAACCUUUUAUUGAUUUAUUUUUAUUAGGUAAUUUAAAGUUUGCAAAAAAAAAAAAAAAAAAAAAACUUGUACACAAAAAAAGCCAACGAGGAGACGGGGAGCACGGUUUCGGUGGCAAGACAAGGGGGGGAGGCUCAUUUCUCCAUGGUUGUCUUUCUGAUUUUUUGAUUAAAACUUGUAAAAAGAAAAAAAAACCAACAUUGAUUUAGCGAAAAUAUUUCCUCGUGGUAAUAACUAAUUAUUUUUUUAUUGAUUAUGAUAUAAUGGAUACAUACACGAAUUGCUAAAUUGUAUUGAAUUAUAUCUUUUUUUUAAAAAAUACAAAAAUGUUUAAUAUACGAUAAAAAUUAAAAAAACAGUUUUCAGGGUGACGAUUAAUGUUAUAAUGUUAGAUAGUGCGAUUUGACAGUGAUUUUAUGAAAUAUUAUAAAAAUUCUAGGUGUUUCAGGGUUUAUUAUUAUUUUUUUUUUUUUGUACAAAUUGUAAUUCUUACCGAGAAUUCAAUAAGUUUUAAUUUAUGUAUUAAGGGUUUCUUAAUUCUCCUGCCGCAUAAAUACGCCCGAUUAGAAUAUGUAUAUACAUUUUUUUCGUUUUGGAAAAGGAUUCAAAUUCGUACAUAUAUUUGCACAUUGGACUCGAAUCAUAGAGUCUGCGAAUUUUCAAAUUCCAAAUCCAAUGUACUCCUAUGGUUAAAAACCUUCAAUUUUCAAAAAAAAAAAAAAAAAUUAUAAAUGUUUAAAAUCUGACUGCACUACGAGACGGGAUAGCUGAAUCUGUAUUAAUCUGUAUUGAUCCGUAAUAAGCGUGUUUUCGGGGGAAAAAACAUGUCGCGCGCACUGUCCUUCGGGAGUUUUUUCGUCUUUUUCGAACCUUUUUUUAAAAUUCGAUCGGGCGCCCUUUCCGGAAUGAGCGAUUCAUACAACGGUUUUCGGGCCAAGCGCGAUGUCCGGCCGAAUAGUAAUAUUUUAUUUCCCAAACUAAAACCGAACACUAUAUAAUGCAACGUAUCGGUCGGUCAGUGUUCGGAGAAAACAAUAUUAUAAAAUGCCCGUUCGGCUGUGUAAUACUGCAGACGGACGUUUAUUAAUUUUGGAUUUUCGAAGUAUUCGCGUUCCGUAUCGUAUCGCAUCCGAACCCGAACGGUUCGGUCGCUCCGUGUAAAGGUGUAUUUAGGUGUGCGACAAUAGAAUUUCGCGAGUCGCGAGUCGCGCCGCGUAUUGUACAAAAAAACGAAUAAAAACAUUCCGCGCCAUCGGGUGUUAUUUACGAUAUUCUAUUCACUCUCUGUCCAUCUAUCUAUCCGCGUUUGUAUACGGCGUACACGAAUUAAAAAUUAACGAGCGCAGUGUGACGGCCUACGACUUUUUCUCCCUUUCCCGCGUUGUAGUGUUCUCGCGUUACGUUUGUCAUUUAUUCACGGUUUUCCUACCGCUCGCCUUUGCGUAACGCGAAAUAUAUAUAAAAAAAAAAAAAUAAUAAAAAAAAUAAGGCGAUUUUACGAGCUCGCGCGCGUCAAUCCGCGCCGUGCGCGCAUUAUUGCGUACAGUGCCGUUUAUGUCGGCCACGAGACGACAUUGCGAAACUGCAGACGCGCGCGAAUUUUUUUCUCCGUUUCACGACCGGGACAACGAGGUGCCGCCGUUCUCGAAAUUAUUCGCCGGGCCCGUUGUCCGCGACCGGGCGCGGGAAGUGCCGGUUAUUGUGUCGAUUAUUUUUUCGGGGAAAAAAAAAAAAAAAAAAAAAAAACCCAUUCGGGAACGGAAAAAAUGUACGGUACGGUCUAUUAUCGAUUUCCGAACGAAAAUUAAGUNUUCCUACCGCUCGCCUUUGCGUAACGCGAAAUAUAUAUAAAAAAAAAAAAAAAAAAAAAAAACCCAUUCGGGAACGGAAAAAAUGUACGGUACGGUCUAUUAUCGAUUUCCGAACGAAAAUUAAGUCGAAGUUUUUUUUUUUGUAAAAUCGAAAAUCGUGCAAACGUUUCGGAAAACCGCAUGGCCCGCUGAACGUACACGCUCAAACAGUUUUCCGAACAAACCAAAUCGCCCCUGAUAUAUUGUUACUGUCGUCGCCCAUUCGUAUCACUUAUACCAUAUAUAUAUAUAUCUAUUUCAUCUCCUCCGGCUUCAUUUGGAAAUGCCGCUUGUGCGCCACUCAAAUCGCAAUGCAAAAAACAUUCGUUUCAUCGGUGAUCAUUGUUUAAUAGAAAUUCGCAAUAAUUUUGUUUAGUAAUACGUUGAUUGUUUCAUUUCGAUAGUUUGAAUUUGAUUUUCGUAUUACUGUUAUAUAUAUUUACCAACUAUAAACAAUAUGGAUGUACAAUGUAUGAGAAGAGUACAAACUGUAUAGAUAUUAAAAUAUACUCUCAACAAAAUGAAUGAGAACACCACUGUACGAAGGUACAAAAGAAAAAGAAUAUUCCGAAGAUCUAUUUCAAUUAACAGUAUAUAUAAAUAUAGAGGUGCGCAUUUCUACUAUAUUUCUAAAAUAAACUAUGUAUAAUAUAUAUACAUAUAUAUAUAUAUGGUAGUAGCGAGGUAGGGGAGUGAAAAUUUAGUGUAAUGGCAGAGAGAGAGAAUUGCCGAGUAUAUGUAGAGAGUGGCCGUGUAGUGGCGAGUAGUGGCGGAGAGGUAAGUAAUAUCCGCACACCGGAGUAUAAUUUAAUUUAUUGCUAUACACGACGAUGAAUUAUAUUGUAUUGUCGAAAAACGAUUCUAAGCGAUGUUCGAGUAAAACGUUGGUUUUAUAUAUUUUAAUAUUUAUUAAUUUAUUUUAAAUUUGAAUUGUACAAAAUACAAUAAAUUGUUCGUGUAAUCGUGUUAUUAACAAAGCUGUACACAAAAUUCGAACUUCAAACGCUAGUGAUAAAAGUAAACUACUAAACUUCCAAAAGAAAAAAAAAACUCAAACAUUACAAAUAGCUGUUAAUCACUUUCAAAAUAGACAGAAUAUUUUCGAAACUAUUGUAUCACGUCCAGAAAGUAUAUGGCAAACGUUCAAGCCUUAACGAUAAUUUUCACAGAAUUAGAAAAAAAUAUAUAAUAAUAAUAACAAAAAUUCGUAACAUUUCGGUUUUUUCCUUCGUUUUCCCACCAUUAUUCCGAAAACUACGAGGAUAAUAAAAAAAAAAUGACACGUUUAACGCUCCAACUAUAUACGUAAUUCGCAAUUAGAAAUCGUCCAUAUCGAUAAAUGGACCAAGAGGAUUUCGGUUAGAAAAUUCACAAAAAAAAAAAAAAACAUUUUGUACGGGUUGAAACAGAAGACUUUCCACAGAUCGUGUUGAACUCCGUUCUACGAUAUUUUUAUUUUAAACCACAUAAUACCGUCUAGAAAAAGAUCAAUUUUUAAUUUUUUUUUACUCGAUAGCUUUUCUUUUUAUAUACCUGCCAUUAUAUUAUGGAAUCAAAUAAAAAAUUGUAGUACAAUGCGGUCCAUAAUAUAAUGUUGUUGCAGUAAUCGGCUAAAAGAAAAAAAAAAAAAGCAUUAGGAAACUACUAUGUUGACAACGAUUCUUCCUUAUAGCUAUAACUCGCAGAGUAAUUAUUUUCGUCCGUAAAACCGGCCGCAUCUCUUCCUCCUAAGCGGGUAUCGGGUAGUAAAUUCCGCGGUAAAGUGCUAUUCUAAAUGUUACGAAACCGGAGAUAAUUCGGUAUACCGAUAGGUACCGGGUUUCGGGAGAAAAAAAAAAAGCACACAUCACAGCGAUGUCAAUACGUUCCUCGUCACGCUCCGAAUUCAAAGCGAACGAAUAAUAACAUAAUAUAUUAUGCGUACGAGUAUUCAGUAUGAUAUACAAUGUUGUCAUUUCGGUGUAUUCAAAAACUUGACGCUGUAUUUAAAUGAGUAAAUCGCGUGAAUAGUUUUAUAAAUUCCCGCAUACUUACGUUCGUUUUUUCAGACGGCAGACAUUUUCGUUGACACUUUGUUGACAUCAAAAACGUUCGGCUGUUUCGAUAAUUAGCAUUAAUGCAGCGUUAUUUCUUAUAACAUGUUCCGAGAAACUUCAAGUGAAAACUAAUUAAUGAUCUUCUUUACAAUAUUUUCAAAAUUUACCCUUAUCCCGUGUACACCGUAAAAAAACACACUGUUCACUUCCAUAGUAAAUCGCAUAAUUACAUUUUUAAAUGUACCACAAGAAUCGCUUCCCUUCCCGAUAUUAUCUUAUCCGGUCUACAUUUUAAACUGCUAUGUAACAUCCGAUACGAGUGUAUCGAGCCUAUCGAUAUUUUUUUUAUGUAAAAUAGCCUUUUGUCAAAAAUACCGGAAAGCUAUUGAUCUUUGACGUUCAAAAGGUGUUACCACUUUUUCGGGUGCCCGAGAAAUAAUAAGGAGGUGAUGGGGGAAAUUCAAAAACGACCACAAACUUAAACGAUUUCAUUAAUAUUGUAAUAUGAUUGUCACAAAACCGAAAUCAAUUUCACGGAAAAAUUCUCCGAGGAAACCGUUACGCGAUCGUGAUAAAAAUAAAAUAAUCAUCCUGUAUACCUAUACGCGUUGUGAUUGGACGGAUGAAGCAAGUAUCAUCGUUCUACCGCGUUUGCGCACAUGACGUAUAAACGUAUAUUACGUCGCAAAUGUUCAGUGCUCCUGUAUAUUGUUUUCUUAUUAUAUUAUACUUGUAUAAGUAUACGUAUCCAUAAGAAUAUCGACGCGGAACCCGCUGUAUAAUAUUAUUGUUGCGUCAGGCGUGGAACAACUGUAAUAAUAACAAUGACAACGAUGGUAAUAACGAUCGCGGUGUACUUAGAUACGUCGUCGUAUACCUAUACUUACCGGUCGGAUAUUGCCGUAGAACACGUGAAUAAUUUUCCUAUAUAGCGGCGGAACGACUAUUAUUUUUUAUCAUAUAAAAAGCACCUAUUAUAACGAUAACGACUAUAAUACAGCUGUAUCACUGCGGUUUUAUUGCGAGGGAUGGGGUGAAGGGCGUGGAUCGUCUCUCCUCCCCCCACCAUAUACGUUUGUACGUAUAUCAGCCUAUCAAUGGGGAGGGGGUGAAAUUGGAUUGAUUAUUUGUACCAGUAUAUUUUGUAUACGUGUAUAGUUUUUUUUUUCUGACUUGCAGGCCACCUAAUACCUUUUGCCGCUCCUUCUCGAUUUCCGUCGUUCCCCGCAGGCUUCCGAAUCUUUGUUCGCUCUAUCAAGCCAUCUCUGGCAGGCUCUACCUCUUUGUUCCAUCCCGCUUGGUUUAUUGAUCAAGUUCUUAUGUAUUAUCUUAUCCUUUGUCCGCCAGACAGGGCUAAUCCAGACUCCCAGUUUCUAUGGUCUUUUGGCCUCGGAUAGUUUUAUGCGUUUUGUCUAUAUAUACUUUUCUGACCCCCAGUUUCGUACGGACCCUGCAUUAAUGUAAUGUAUAUUGUAUACACACAAUUUUAUGUCUGUUACCUGCUCUUCGGGACUUGUCGAAACCCGCCACUGAGAUGUACACGGACCGUGUUAUGCUUACCUCGAAAAUUGCUUACAAAAUACUCGAAAACACGUCAAACGGACAUACAUGUGUGUUGUGUCUCGUGGGGGUGAAUCGAAAAAGAAACAAUGUCUUUCGUCGAAUUUUUACGAUGACCUUUCCUUUGGUUUUACAGUGUACCUACCGCUUAAAUGCUCUUGCACACGCGGACAGAGAAAAUAAUGGAUUUUAAAUGUAAUAAAACAAAUGUCAUAAGCGUGUUCAUAGUCGCGAAAAGGGCAUCCGACUAUUUUAUUUAUUUUUGUUCAAGCGGUUAAAGACAUUAUUCUUUCAUUUUCGGCGCGCAAUCGAAAUCGGCGGUUCCUAUCGACCGAUUCCUAAUAUGUAUCCGUUCGCUAUUUCAAACUUGAAACGUGAGCACAAUAUACGUAUAUGUAUAAAUUGUUUUUUUUUUUUUAAAACGUAUAUAUUAAUCGGCAACGAGUUUGAGAGUUUGAGAGUUAUUUAUGUCUGUAGUUUAUUUCAAAACCUUUUAAUUGCACGCGAAGGCGUCCGGACUUUAAAGGGAGAGGGCAAACUAAAGAAUUUUCAGACGUUUCGCAACUCUUAUGAUACUGCUUGAACAAAUCGGCAAAUUCAUGUAUUCUUUCAAAAAAAAAAUAAAAAAUAAAAAAAAUAUGAAAAAUCCAUCUUAGUAAAACUAUAAUGGCUUUUUCGGUACAUUCCGAAUAAAAACAAAUUCGUAUUCAUAAAGUCGAGUUAUUUAUAUAAUAUAUGUAUUAGUAAGUAAACUUGCACCGUAAAUGUAUUUCGACCGGGGGUUUAAUGCGAACACAAGAAAUAUAAUAUUUAAAUAUUUAGAAUCGGCCCGUGUACUUAUUAAAAAAACAAAACGUUCAAAACGGCAAUAUUAAAAGCUCGACGACAAAAAUAAAUAACAAUGCAAUAUUUUACAUAAUAUUUUAGUUGCGAAAGUUUCAAACAUGCGCGAAGCCUGCAGAUUGCAUAAAAGAAAAUUAUACUUGGGUAGUAAUAUUAUUUUCGCGGGCGAAUCGAAUCGUAAACGUUCCCGUGAAACGUGACGAGACGCCCGUCUCGAGGUUCCGAACCGCGGGGAUAAAAGCUUUGUACUGUGGUGUCUGAACAAACGGAAAAAAAAAAAAAAAACGCCGAAAUCGAAACGGGUAAAAACCGACGUCUGACACCCGGCCAUCGCGCUUGCGUAUCACAAAGCUGCGAUCAUACCUAUAGAUUUAGCCACGGUUGGGCGAGUGCGAGCGUCUGCAGCGUUGCCCUGAAGAAAAAAUUCGUAAAUUUCCCCGUCACAAUACACUAUUUUCGCUGCGGUCGAAUGUUGUUUUGUUUUUAUCGCAAUAGAUAACAACGUUGUUGUUGUUGUUUUUCUUUUGUCGUCUCGAACCGCGACGUUCCCGCGGUAAUACGCCGAAAACAAACUCCCCGCGCGGCGCGAACCGCUCUUUUUAUUAUCGCGUGAUAAUAAUGUUGCGAUUAUCAUGAUAAUAAACGGCGACGAUUACGGCGUCGGAUCGCCGCCGCGGAAUCGUUUGUUAUUAUUAUAUGCGCGCACGUUGUCGUCGUCGUCGUCGUCGCCGUCGUUCAUCGGGACAAUAAAACGCACGGUAAUUACCCGGUAAAUAGCACGUGGGACGUUUAGACGUGGCGCGUUGUGCGUCGCCGCCGCCGUCAUGACUCACCGCCCCCGCACCCGCGGCGGGUUACCGGGGUCGAUUUUCGGGAGGGAGGGGGGGGGUCGGAAAAACAAAAGGCCAAAAAAAUAAAUAAAUAAAUAAAUAUGAAAGAAAAAAAAAAAAAUAGAAGAAGGGUGAAAUCCGUUUGCGGAACGGUAUAACUACCGUUGCGCACGCCAUCGUAAUAUUCCAUGGCCGAACGGUUUCGCGUUGUCCGCGCACGUCCAUGUUGUACACACAAACACCGUGAACUACGCAAACGGAAUGUCACCGUCGUCGUUUCCGCGCACGCACGUAAUGCGUUCGCGUUACACGUGAUAAUAAUAAUUGUCGUUAUUGAAAAGGGCUCCGGAGCAGGUUGCUGUUUGACAAUCAAAACGUAAUACUCGUUUUUAUUGUGCGAUGCGCAUUGUUACAACGAGGCGUGUAACAGGGGCGGUCAUUUGAAAACAACGUUGAAACAAUAAAGUGUAGAUAAUUCCGUGAUCGCUGAAAAAAAAAAAAAAAAAAGAAAGAAACGGAAUUUACUAAAAUUUCUCCCGAAAAAAUGAAAUUUCACCGUUCGUACACGCAUAUCGUCGUAUUGAACGAUUUUAAAAACAAAUCGACUUUAGCAGCGAAGAAACAGAAAUUAGUACUUUUAUUUUCACCGCUAACUGCGAUGUAUCUAAUCAAUCUAAAACGACGUCUUGUACUUUAGAUUCUGAGCGGUUGGUUUCUUUUUUCUGUGGACUAAUUUAUUACCAGACAUUUUGUGCCGAUGUUCAAGUGUAGCCCUAUUCUUAAAGGGGACUUUGACUGGGGUGGUACUUUGAGCAGGUCAUUUAUUUAUUUUCCCAAGGGUUUUCCUAAUAAAUGUGAAAAACCGGGAAAAAACGUAGACAAGAUAGGAAAAAUUACGGAAAUAAUGCUUUUAUUAUUAUUUUCAAUUUCGUUUUUUUAUUGUAAUAGUGAAAAAUAUUCGUAGAGACUUGACAUUUGGCCAGAAAACUUAUAUUUGUUUUUUUUAGGCGCGGUAACAUUUUCAAAUCAUUUAAACUAUUUCUAAGCUGUUGAUGGACAUUUUAAUUUUGAGAGGUUUUUUACGUAGUUUUGUAUUCGGUAGGUACUGUAUGUGGAUAAAAUUUUUAAAUUUAACAGAAAUAUUUGAAAAUUUAACAGGAGGUUCAUUAGAAGUCGUAUAAGGAACUUAAGUACCAAAUUUUGACGAAAAUAUUAAAUAUUGUCUUUCAAAACAUGCAUAUGCAUAAUUGAACCACGCUCAGAAUCGUUAUUCGAUAAUAAAUAUUAAUUAUUGUGUAUAGAAUGUAUACAUUAAAUUCCCAUCUAUAUCCCAUACCUUCCCAACUUCUCACGUACAACAGCGGCCCACCGAUCGUACGAAAUAGGUCCGACUUUUUUAAAUUACAACAUUUUAGAAGUCAAGAAACACAUAACAUUUACAGUUUUGAGUUAACUUUCCACGGAUCGUUCGACGCGACGCGAUUUCUCGUUUAUUAUUAGGGAUGAGAAGUUUUAGGCUAUUAAAAAUACGCACUUUUAUAUCUAUGUCUUCUAAUUACAAAUGGGCGAGCUGAAAAAUUAUUCCAUAACUUAGCGAGUUCAUAUUUGUGGUUUUUUUUUGCAAAUGUUUGUAUAUUCAGUGAAUUUGCACUUAUUAUUAAUGAAUUUUACCCCAUAAAACAAUAAUUGAACACAAAGCCCGUAUAGUUUCAAUAAUACAGCGUUAAAAAUCUAAAAUGCAAAAUGAAAUAUAAUACAAUAGGAUUUUACUUUAUUAUUUAAUUUUCGUACGCGUACUUUUUGACAUGUUUUCGUAAUUUUUUUAUUUUUUCUUUCUUUUUCGUGCGCGUAUUUUGUCAAUUCUUCGUCCUCCCCGGUGUAACUUCUCGUCCGCACCACUCGUGAUAUUACAACACCGCAAUGGACGGGCGCACCCUGCGCACGAUAACGACGCCCAUCGGUGUACAUUAUAAUACCGCGUACCCGCGCGUCGCACGGUUUUUUUUAAAAACCGCAACGUCGCGACGAACUCCCUGCCGAGUGGGUCGCACUAAUGAGUAGUUUCGCGCGCCCGAUCCCGACGUCUCUCGAACGCCCACACACCGUUCCCCGCGUAAAAACGUCGCCGCCGCGGCGGCCGUCUCGAGAGUGGCCGCGCCACUCGUAACUCCUUUUUACGCUUGGUUUUUUAUUUUUUCUCCCCGCAAAACACCGACGCGUGUCUGCCCGUCGCGCAUGCAGUCCGAAAGGCAUAAUGUCGUUACGUGUUAUUCUAUACGCACGGCACGUUAUUCCCCGGGGACCGGGGUCGAACCGCCGCCGAUAUCGCGCGUGUGCACACGCGGUCGUCAAGACGCGAUAGAAACGCACGGUGGAGGGGUGGGUGGGUUGACGGGGGGCGGCGAAAGCGACGACGUGUUGUUUGUCGCGCACUCGGGCGCGUUUCACGCGGGGAAACCGCGCGACGAGCCGUGACGUUAUUGUGCGCCGCGCAGGGGUGUGCCCGGCGGCGGCACGCUCGCCCGUUGGCCUACUGGCGUUUUUCAAAACGAUUUUUUUUUUUCUCCCCGGCGUGGUUCGCUUUUCUACGCGUACGUCCGUAAAGUCACCAAUUAUUCUCCGCGGAACCUGUCAAAAGGUGUGGUUGUUUUCGUUUCGUUUCGUUUUUUUUUUUUUUUUUCGUUUUUGAUUUCAUCGCGAUCCGGCCGGUUUCUCGGAGCGUUUCGCGCGAACCGAAGCGCCGCGGCGGUUUUCGCAAACGGUCGACAUCAUUCGUGUUCGCCGAUGUCUGGUUCGACCACGCGGUUUUUCAAACGUUUUUAUCCCCGGCAGCGGCGUGGACGAGCCCGGUAAACGCGACUCGGAAAAGUCGAGUACGGGGNNGGGGGGGGGGGGGGGGCUCGGUCGCCGUUCGGAAACAAGAGUUUGAUUUACGCUCGUUUACGGCAGGGUGCAGUUUUGAAAAUAUACUGCAAAUCAAAUCGUUAAACGGUUCAACAAUAUACGAGCGGAAAAAUAGAUUUUACACGAACUCGUUGUGCACCGAGGUUAAAAAAAAACAAAUUACCAUACAAUAAAAUAUUUUGAGUAAAAAACGAAUUGUCGGGAAAUGUUAAGAACAUUGCGAGUACGCGUUCUGUAUAAUAUUCGUCCGUAUUUAAAACACGAAAAAAUGAAAAUACAUUGAAAAACCGUAAAAUCAUUCGAAAAGUGAAAAGAAAACCGUCGAACAAUGUAGAAUACAAAUUUCACUUUUUAAGUAUCUUUUACACGAAUCGCAAAUUAUGUACUUGGAUUGCUCGAGAGCAGAAAAAAAAACGGUCUUAGCAUUGAAUACAAAAGUAAUAAUACAAUUGAAUGAUCCCACUGUAUAAUUAUUAUUACAUAGGUAUAAAAAUGAAAUAAAUCAAAGAAUACGCUCGAGUGGAAAGUUUUCGAACUUUUUCCGCAGGCCCUCGCGAUCGAAUCCCGGGGCAAGGGCUGCAGUCAAACAAUGUUUUUUUAUUAUUGUUAUUUAUUUAUUUUUUUUUAUUACACAACAUAAUAUUAUGCACCUGUUUAUAAUAUCGUGUACAAAACACCGUGUCUAACCGUAUUGAUUAUUAUCUGUGUCGGGAAUUCAGUCGGAACGAAAACGGCCGAGUGUAAUAAUAAUAAUAAUAAUUAUAUACACUCCCGAUAAAUGUGUGGGCUUCUUCGUGUUUUAACAGAUCGUUUUUCUCCUACGAUUUUAACCGGUUUUAGAAAUUGUAUUAAUUAGUAUUGGGAGAAAAAUUAAAAAGAUUUUUUUUUUUUUUUAACAUUUACAAUCCGAUUAUUAUAAUGAGCAAAUUCGACAGAAAGGUCCAGGAAGAAAAGUAUGAUCGAGGCAACCACCCGUUGACGGUAUCCCUAAAAAGAGUUUUAAAAGACAGAUAUAAAAAAAAUAGAUCAAAUCUAGAAAUUUUAUAGUUCUCAGUCGUCCGUUCCGGUAAAAAUUCUUUCUUUUCCACCACCGGUAUUUUACUCGGUUUUUAGUAUACACCCGCGGCUUCGGUUCGAAUGAUAUUUUAUGUUAUUUCCGGACUCGAUUCGACGACGUUUGAAAUAUUAGUCCGAGACUCGAUCGGCAAUGUUGUCGGCCCGUAUAGCUUGAUAAACGAAUAUUUAUUAACAUUGUCUUUGUUUUUCUGUUACAGAUAUUUUUGACGAAAGAGCCGCCUUGAUCGGUAAGCGUGCAGCGUUAUUUCAGAAUCAGUUGCGGAUAAUAAAAAACUAAUUAAAAACAAAAAUGUCCUCUCAGAAUGUCGCCGUAGUGAAUUUAACGUAAUUCGACAUAUACACACGAGCGUAAAAACUUCACGGUGAACCGGAUCAACGGGUCGCUAAUUAGGUAAUUCCGUCUCGUUGUCCUACGGACAUUGAACACGACAAUUGGCAAACCGCACGACACGAUGGUUCUGAGGCACGGAUUUUGCCGUCAAUGUUCCGAAGUGCUGCUCGUCGUCUGCACAAUUACAAUGGCCAUAACAGGUGAGUGAAUUCGGUUUCAUUAUAAUAUUUAUAAUAGUUACUGUUAAAUGGUUAUUGGGCAAAUAAAUAGAGGUAUGCAAUUAAGUAUUUUCACGAAAUUUUCAAAAAAUAAUAUUAUAAUUUCGGAGGUCUCUAAAACUAUAAAUUGAAAAUUGACUUCCUAAAAAAUCUAGACAAUUUGUCAACAAACGCAUACCAUAAACGUUUUAAUCGGACAUCGGGGAGUUUUAUUCGUGUAAAAUAUACGAACACUAGUGGCGUCCUGACCUCCUUAAGCUAUACACGAACUGCAAUAUUGCCACCUAACAUCGUCCAGUGGCGAGAUUCGCAUUUGCAUAUGGGGGACGAUAUCUAAAAAAGUUCUGUAUACACAUCCAUCAAACAUAUUUUCGAGUAUAAAUUGAUAAAGUAAAAUGCUUGAAUGAAUAGGCAUCAAGCCUACUCUUUCAAACAAUGCUUCUGUUAUUAUAAAUAAUACUAAUGUGUCAUGACGAAGUUGACAAUGUGAGGAAAUUCAUAAAAUGUUAAUUAGUGAAUAAACAAAAAAAAAGGCGAAAGGAAUGGAUAUGACACUCUCAUCUCCCCUCAUAGCAUGAGUAGUAAUCAUAAUAUCACAGCGUUCUUAUAAACGAGGUAAACCCAGAAAUCAACAAUAAUAAUACCGACGUAUCGUUAUUAAAUUGUUGAAUUAUUCGCGUGUUUUCGUUAUAACAUUAUUUUAAACGCACUAAAACACUAUAAUGCACUUUGCCCGCGUUUAGCGGACUGAUUACUAAUUUCUAAGUCCGUUAAAUCUUCGGGUUUGUUUUAUUCGUUUCUAUUAUUCCGGACAAUAAAAUAAUAAUAUUUUAACACGGCACGGCGUCGAAGUCUUUUAUCGUCGAGUUUUUUUUCCAUAAACUUUAUUUCAUUUUUCAUUCGCGGAUUCUUAUUGGAAAAGGAAAUAAUCAUCACUGUUUUUGCACAUUUUGCUUGUCUCGCGCUCAUCCGGUUAAAAUAUUUAAACCGGAAAUCCUUCGCUUGGACGUCAAACUGAUUUUAAAGAUUAUAGUUUUAUUCUACUUGUAUAUACCGUUGAAAAACAAAAAAAUAUUUGAUCCUUUUAUAAACGACAAAAUCACCAGUAAGCAGUAGAGAUCUGACAUCAUACACAGGGUCGAAUUAUUUCCCGACUAUUUUGUAUUAUAAGAACAUUCCGAUUUCUGUGCAAAACAAUAAAUAACCAAAUACUACAAUAAUACUACUAAUGUUAUAAAUGCGGAAGUUUGUGAUUCAACUAUGCCAAAACAGACGAACGGAUUUGGACGAAAUUUAGCACAUAGAUAGAAUAUAUUAUAUUAUGUAAUACCGUCAGUAAUACUUGCCAGUGCGAAAAAAGGCAAUAUUUUCCGGGAUAACGAGUGUCUUAUCGAGGUAUGAUCACUCUGCAUACGAACUAAUGAGUAGUUUUCAUCACGAAUAUUUUGUUUGUCGACACAUAUGACGAAAAUUAAUUUUUUUUUUUUUUUUUUUAUUAAAUUUAUUAGAUUCGCGUGUUCACGCGUAUACCGUGAAUUUUGUCGGAACGUUUAACAAAUCCCAUACCGUCGAACACGCAGUUUUUGUUUAUGUAGUUUAUAUUAUUAUCCUAUUAAAUGAAAAAAAAAAAAAUCGAAUAACGGUAAACGUGCCGUAAUAAAAUGUAUAUUUAAUUUGAAAAAAAAAAUAAAAAAAUAUCUUCUCGUAAAACAUUUCAUUCCUCUUUCCUGCGUUUUAAUAUUAAAUUAGUUUUCAAUUUGCCAUGAAGACCGAGUGAAUUUAAUUACACCUUUAUGUAAACAUACGGAUGUAGUUGAUAUAUUUUGUUUGAAUUUUUUUUCUUUUUAAAUUUAUUAUAGUAAUUUUUUUAUUAUGAAUUUUUCAUUUUUCUCCCCCCAAACUAAUAACACCUCUAUAUUGUGCGAUAGGCGCGACCCCGGACUGACAGGUGUGUAAGGGCGAGGCGGCAGACAUGUGCCUGCGUUACGAGGCCGAACGAACGUCACGAGCUAAUAUUGUUGGGUAUUAUGACACAAUUGAGCAUAAAAAGAUUAAGCAAAUUCGUCAAGAAUUUAGAGAAGAAAUAAAGACGACUUAAUCGUAUGGUAUUAACACGCAUUAACGAAAAAUAAUAUAAAAAUCUAUGUAAACAUUAACAAUGACAGCAGGGACACUUAAACGUUAGGUAAAGUUGCAUCCGAAACUAUUGCUCGUUUAAUGGCUAAUACACUUGUGAUGACAGUCUUAUUCUUAGGUUUGCCAACUAUUUCUGAGCGCAUGGGUCCUCUUUAUAUAGCUGUUUGGUACCACCGAUGAACUUUGUUGUCGGACACUCAUCAGUUAAGUGUUGAAUCGACUGUGCUUCGCCACAAGUGUAUAGAGCCAUACCCUAUUUAUGCAAUGGCUCGUUGCGUUUUCAUUUUCGAACUAUUUUAUAAAAAUAAAAAAGUAUGAGUUAAAAAAAAAAAAAAAAGAAAAAAAUUUCAUUGAUCGUGGGUUUAUUUACCCGUUUGAUAAUAAUAAAAUAUUAAUACUUGCAGCGAAGUUAAAAUAAUAUGAAAUAAAUCAAAUCGAUACCAUCUUGGUAAGUGUUGUUUCGUUUCAUCUGGUUUGGAUAGAAUAGUACAGAUUUUCAGUGUUUUUACAAUACUCCGGCAACGUGCACGUGGCAACGUCAUCACGUAAACUAUUCCAUAUUAUGCUCAAUCGCGUUGAUAAAAACGAAUACACUCAAUUUGUAACACGGUCAAUCGUGUCUUCACGAACUAUUUUGUCGUUAGUGAUCGAUUACAGUGUUACGGUAACGCGUUGGGCUUUUCUUAAACGACACGUGCUCUUCGCGUGUUUACUGACCGUUCGUAUUCCAUGCUCUAGCGCAGUGGUUUUCAACACGUCCGUCGCGACGCUCAGGCAGCGGCGGAUUCGAUUCGUUUUCUGGUGGGUGAGGGGGGGGGCAAUAUUCUUUUGGUUCAAAAGUUAAACUUUUAACUAUUUUCCCGGUUACGUGGUCAGGGAUGACCCGGUAAGUAUGAAAUAUUCAGGGAAGAGGGUAGAUUCUUUUGAAUAAAAACCGUGAUUAUGAUUUGUUAAACACUGUGGAUACGGAUUUCCGAAAGAAAUUUUUAUUCGUGUGUAGUCCGAAGUCUAGGCGGCGGUCACGAUCUGGGGUGUCGCGGUUCGGUACUGAAAGGGUGUUAUUAUCAUUAUUCGCGAGGGGGCCGCAAAUUUGGUUUUCAAAAUCAAAAGACCCGCGGGCUAGCGGUUCGCGGGGACAACGGGAUUCGUCGUCGUCCCGGACGUUAAAAACGCGACGAGAUUUUUUUUUUCUUCUAACGUUUCUCCCGCCCACGUCAUUAUGUUACGAUUUCGUAACGAAAUCGUUUCGCGGACGACACGCGCGCCGCCGGAGUUUUCGGAUUUUCGACAAUGACGCGCGGUCGUAUACGACACUGCAUUAUUGUUAUUAUUAUUAUAUUAUUUGUGUAUAUAAACGGCUAAAAAAAAAAAAACCUAUAACGUUAUUAUAUUCCACGCGCGUUUUAUCGCCGCCGCGGCUGCACAAUAACACGCGGUGCCAGUAUUAAACAGUAACACAAUGACGGUCGCGUAUAAUUAUGGCGUGGGUGUAAGCAGAGUACACCGCUGAAAAAAAAAAAAAACGAAUAAACGUUACGGCCGCCGGCCGGCGAAAAUACGAAAAAAUUAUAUUUUUUACUACACGGUUGUUCCCGUUUGUGUAUUAAUAUUAUUAUUAUUAUUAUGAAACGUAAAAAAACAAAACGAAAUCUCGUCCGGGGGGAAACAAUACCGCGCGGCGGCGCGUUUCCGAUUGUUUUUUUUUUUUUUUAUAUAUUCUCUUCUAUUAUGUACAGUGUACAGUGACGACGACGGGCCACAAAAUAAUAUUAUAAACUACUAUGCGACGCACGAUAAACGCGCGGGGUGUUUUUUUUUUUCGUUUUAACGACGCGUUUAUUUUUGUAUUCCGUUUUUAAGCGCUUGUCAUUAGGUUUCGGUUCAUACAUACUACGCCUGCAGCUAUACGCGUAACGGCGAUAAUACGGGGUUUUUUUCGUUUUUAUUAUUAUUGUAAUUCGUGGGUGUACAUACGCGCGUGUACUUUUCGUUUUUAUUUUCGUUAUAAACAUAUAAAAACAGAAAAAAACAAAAAAAAAAAAAAGACAAAAAAAUGAUGACAUUUUCGCGUAGGUAGAUAGGUAUUAUUGUCGUAUACCUGGCCGUAAUAACGGCGGCGGCCGUGACGGACGCACGCGAUUGAGCCGAAACCGACGACACGGAUUAAUGGGCAGCCGGGCAACAGCAGCUGAUAUAAAAAAAAAAAAAAAAAAAAAAAAACAAAGGUUGUUUUGACUAUAUAUAUAAAUAUACGAGUACGUGUCCCGUGUGUGCGAAACGCAAUAAAUUUCCCAUUUAAAAACGAAGAGCUUAAAACGUUAAAAACGAAAAAAAAAAAAAAAAAAAAAAAUGGGAAGCGUUUUAUGGCAUUUUUUCCGCCUCCCCUCGAUCGUUCGCGGAAAUGGCUUUUUCGCGCCCGCGUUCCGCCGGACCUUUUAAAUGGGCCCGCCAUUACCACUCAGCUACAGGCAGGUGAUGGGCACCCGCGCGGGUGUAUAAUAUACUCGUACGGCGCGGUACUAUUAUAAUAAAUAAUUACGCCGUUCGGAAAUCUUAAAAGACUUUCGAACGCCCGGCCUUUACAAUACGACCGUGGAUUCCGCCGAUAUUCCAAUAGCGCGAUCAAUGCACGAGCGUAGGCGCGACGAGGUUUCUUUCUUUUUUUUUUUUUACAUACGGAGCCGACGAAAGUUUUUUUUGCAAACACAUUUUCUACCGGAAAGCUCACUCAGAUCGUGCAAUAAAGGAACUUUUCUGAAAGAAAAUGUACUCCGGGCGAUGCUUCACACGGGUAAUUUUUUUUGAAAUUCUCAUUAAUAUUCGAGAUUACGAGGAUAAUCUGGUUCUUUAGAUUAAAUAAGAUUGAAAGAUUAGAAACAAGUCUGCCGUUGAAAACCGUUUUUAAUCAGUUAUUGUUGUUGCCGUUGAGUUUUUAUUUUUUCAAUAUUUUAUAAACGAUCGUUGUUGUAAACGUUUUUGCCGUCAGAUGACAUGUACGUUGUAACACUAUCAACUCCGCUCAGAAACGUUUUUUUUUUUUCGUUAGCAACGGUUUAUUAUCCAUUAAAUUCCCGUCCGUGUCCUACCUCCCCAGCUUCACAUACACACACAUAACCGGCCACGUGCGAAGUAUGUCCGUCUUUUUUUGUCUCUUUAAAUAUUUUAAAUGUUUGCAAAAGCAGCGGUAAUGUGUUGCACGUUCUGUCACGCAGCAAAACGCCCCGCGAAACGACCGGCGCCGCCCGCAACAGUGGCCGCACCCGCGUGUGAAGCGCGUCCGUCCCUUUUACCCGCUUUUCUCACCGAAAACCGUUAUUAUCGGUUACGAAUAGGCGCGAACCGUUUGACGCGUCACCGCCAGAGUACACGCACCGUAGCCACCAGGACGACCCGACCGCCGAAACUAAUCCGGUGUCCGCGAUCGGGCGCGAGAAUCCUCUCGCCGAGCCACCGCGAGACACAAUGGUAUCCGGAGAGCCGAUUUCCGUCCCGAACACGGACAACGUUAACGGAAGUGCGCCGCCGGUACUCUGGAUAAACUGCGUUCCGUGAUACGCACGGUGUCCACGCCGUUGCGGCGGUCAAACGGUUUUAUCGCGGUGGACCGGUGACGACGAUUUGCCGGAACUGCUAUCGCAAUAAACGCCCUCGGCUUACCGACACCCAAUCGAUCGUUUCUACUUGCGCACGCGCUGAUUUGUUAAGCCGUUUAAAUAUGUUCAAUUCAAAACCGAUCGGUGGAACAUUCGCGCGAAAAAUGCCCGAACUAUUGUAGAAAACGUUCAGCGGGCCGGCCGCUCCAAUGCUAUCCGCAAGUCCUCCAGAUAAACGCCUACCGAAAACGCAUCGCGUUCCGCUGCGUUUUCUAUACACGCACAGAGAAAACCGAACGACAUCGUGAUUUUUGUUUUACACAUAAUUUAACGAAAUCCCGAACGAAAAUAUGCCGGCAAAAGACGUUUACGUGUCGGAUAAGUACCGCCGUACAAUAAAACACCGGCGUGGCCCGUGCUCCGGGAGUGUGUAAAGAAAACCACAGCUCUCUAUUACCCGUUAGAAUUCUCGAUAACGUAACGGUUACCAAACGGUUUUGAGAGUUUGGAAUGCGCGCGGACGAAUUAUCGGGGAACAGAUAAAACAGGAGAUCAAAGGCGCCACGGCGGAGUGAAUAAUGGACCGACCUCGACAUAAUAACGCGCGCGCUGCUCGGAUAAAGGCGAUGUAAACAUAUGCUGAUUACACCUACGAAUCUGACCGAUCGCCGUUGUAGCUCGAAGAGUGAGUUGAAAGAAAAGUUUAGCGUGACUGUGGAAAUUUCCCGAUUAGCGAAUGAAUGUUACCGGGAUUACAAUUACGGCCGAUUGGGACCGUCAUUUCUAACGUAACAGUGCGGUUAUUGAAAUAUGAUUGUUAACAUUGCGUCUUCGUUAUCGCUAAUAAAAACUAACGGACAGAAAAAAAACACCGAAAACCGACAAGCAGUAGACCGGAUGGAAAUAGCAGGCGCUGUCUCGUAAUCGCCAAUACUAAUCGAGUAUUAUUCCUGUCGGUGUUGAGUUCUGACAAUUUUUCCGGAGGGGGAGGGCGUCACUAAAAUCACAGUAACGGAACCUUUUUUUGUUUAUUUAAAAUUUUACUUAAUUAUUAACUGGAAACCUAACUGUUAAACUAUUAAUUUGUCCACACUUAACAGGGAGCUAAAAUUCCACGGUCGGCUGUCGCCCCCGUCAUAUACCUGGUUUCAACACUAAUUCCUUUAGCACGCCAGCAGAGUCGAUAAACUAUUAUCGUUUCUCGGUGACUGCUGCGACGGUGUAAAUUACAAAACAAAAAAAAAAAAAAGGAAGAACAGGCGGCAAAGAAUUUUGCCGUAUUUCAUCGCCACUUAUUGACGACGCCGACGGCGAUAAAAAUCAUAAACGGUCAAAACGGUUUCGUUUGAAGCGACUUAUAAAUCGAUUAAACAUUUCGAGUCAAACAAUUCCUCCGCUGUCCUUUAUCAUUCCGCCGUUGCCACUGCCGGACGCGACCUUGACUCCGGAACGGACACGAGCUUUUUUUUUUUCAUUUUGCCUUUUUUUUUUUUUUCUCGGUGUUGUUGCUCGUUAUUAUCACCGUCGGUGGUAUUGCCCCGUGUAUCGUACCCGUCAUAUAGGUACAAUAUUCGUGUAAAUAGUGCCCGAAGGAUGGGGGGGGGGAGCGACGGGCGGAGCGGCGGCAAUGUUGUCAAACUCGGCACGACAUCCGAACACGGGGAGAGAGAUGAUUGAUGAUCUUUAUAAUAUCGCGGGCGCAUAUAUUCGAGCAUAUCAUAUACACGGUCGCGCGUACGUACUUACGUUUACAUACAGGGUGAUUAUUUCGCGCGUAGCGAACCGGCGAAAACCCACAGCCGAGUCGAUUGGCGUUGACGGUGUUUCCGUCAGACCCGCGUGCGCGCGCAGUAAACCGUCCGAACGACACCGCGUUUACGAUAUUACCGCGUUUGGUAGGCCGUUUCGCUUUUUACAUAUUAAAACAACAAUAAUAUUCCGGUGUGAAAUCGCGGGGUUAAAAAGAGAAAAGGAAUAAACACGCUAACCGAAUGCUGCGGGAACGCGAUGCGAUUUUUCCGGCGCGACAUCGCGGUAACCGACUCGCGACGGCGAUUGGGUGUGGGGGGGGGAAACAAUAAUAAUCGAAUUUACCCGAAACGAUCGCCCUGUAUAUAUAUAUAUAUGUAUACAUAUAGUACGCGGUGUCGGGCUGUUGGGCGGCGUGUACAUAAAUUCUCGAUGAUGUGUGCGCGAUAUAUUCGCAUACACAUAGAAUAUCGAUCAUCUGCCACGGAGCGUCGCACUUAACCUAAAACGCCUUUCGCCAGACGGUUCCCUUCCUCGCUCGCGCCCGCCNNNNNNNNNNNNNNNNNNNNNNNNNNNNNNNNNNNNNNNNNNNNNNNNNNNNNNNNNNNNNNNNNNNNNNNNNNNNNNNNNNNNNNNNNNNNNNNNNNNNNNNNNNNNNNNNNNNNNNNNNNNNNNNNNNNNNNNNNCCCCCCCCACCCCCUCACGUCCCGUAACCGUCUAUCGCGACGACAAAGUCACGCCGCGCGUAUUAUAUUAGACACGCGCGCGCAUAAUGGGCAUCUACACUGUACGCACUUUUCGUACAGCGACCGGGGCGGGGGGUGGGGGACAAGGGUUGUUGCGCGGGAAGCUGUCGGCUUUUUCAAACAGUCUUCCCGUACAUAAACUCCGCACGGGAGACGCGGACACUCGGCGACGACGACACCGCCGCCGUGGACGUCGCGUUUCGGAUCGGUAAUCCUCCGUCGAAAAAGAUUUCCCAUCCCUCUCAUCACCGCCCCACCCUAAUCCCCUCUUUUCUCACCGUCCACUCGGCCGGCGAAUCGCGAUCCGCCGUCUCGGAUAAAAUAUUUACGUGGAUUUUAAAUAUUUCGCGGUAAACGCGCACGUGUCUACGCCUCGACCCGGGUCCGUCCUAGACAGGUAUACGCCGACGGAUUUUCGUUUUUCGAUCGGUUAUCAAUAUUUACUACUCGCACUAUUCCCGCGCGAAUACGUCGAAACGAUUCGACGUCACUACAGUUUUUCCCGCCGCCAAGGUUCGGCCGGAUGUCCGCUACCGAUUCUCAUCACGAUCGCGUCGCAUCGUACAUUAUUAACCAUUGAUAUUCCGGGCCGACGACGGUUUAUUCGUAUUGAUAAAUUCCCAUUUUUUUCCCGGGGGUUUUUCGUUAAAAUCGCCUUUUCAAAUACUUGUCGAUACAACACGAAUACAGCGUAUUUUCACAUCCGUGCAAGCAGUCGACGUAGGCGUAUCGAUAUUAUUUAUAAUUUAAUAAACAAAAAAAAACAACAACGGGUAUCCUCAUGGUUUAAGGUGUAUAACGACGCGAACGAUAAUACGGAGCAUUUUCGCUAACCGAAAAAGUUUUUCUCGAGAAAAAGCAUAGAUCUAUGGAUGGACAUCCAUACCACACUCUAAUGGUUUUUUAUUUCUUUUUUCUUUUUAUUUAGUCCCUUGUCGAACGAUUUUUUUCCUCCAAAUAACGGUUCCAACGAACAAGACUCGGCCUUAUCCGGCAGGAAGUAACGACUAACGAGUAUAAUAUUUCAUAAUAUACGGUUUCAAUGUAUUACUAUUAUUUUUGUUCAUCCUAGACACGUCCCGCCAGUCGCUUUGUUUUAUAGUAAUAAUACGUUGUGUUUCGUUAUGAUUAAACAUGAAAUCCGAAUUUCCGACCAAGAUUUUUUUUUUUUUUUGGUAUUCUGUAGUGUUAACAAUUAGCCGCAAAUUAGCGAAACGAUUGAUUUCCGGACGCGCAAAACCGCUUUUCGCUCUAUGUAUUUUGACAAAAAAAAAAAAAAACACCGCAUUUCCAGUUUGCUGAAUUCAGACGCUGUCGUCUGCAGGAUAUACAACACAUGAUAUAGCUACCUGAAAAAAAAACGCGUAUGUCGAAAGAUUACGGGUUUUCAGAUAUUGAGCGCAGAGAGGAAUAUAUAAUGCGGUUUUACGAUAGUGUAAUGGUAUAAGUGUUUUUUUUUUUUUUUUGUGCCUGUGAACUGAAUUUUUCUACCAUAAAUCUUACUCCAAUUUUCAAGUAUAAAGUUAUUUCUGAUAGAAAACUGUGUCUUGUUGGCGUAUUGGAAAAGUAAUUUUUCGUCGAUUUUCUUUUGUAGAUUUUUAAUAAUCGGGAAAACCGUAGGGAGACGGAAAUUUUUUACGAAAACGACGGUUUUUACCGUUUUUGAAUAUGGUUAAAAAUAAUCAUAAAGAUUCACGAAAUAUUUUAUAUUGGCCUUUUCUAGACGUGAUAACAUUUUCAAUACGUUCAAACGCAAACAUCGCGUUUUAUGAGCGAGAUUGGUUUUUUAACGAAAGUUUUUUCUCGAGGAAUCAAGGAAAGGGUUACUCUUGGUAUUUUCUUACGCGUUUACUCGAACGAUCGCAGAAACUUUUCCCUACCCCCGCAUUGCGACUCGUCUUCACUAUUGUGUUACGCGCUAUUAUUGCCGGCGAACAAUUCGUUUUUGAAUUCCACCAGACGUCAGAAAAAAAUAAAACCACGUUUAGUGAAACAUAAUAACACGACAACAAUUUCGUUAUGGAAAUUAACAUUUUAAUGAAAACCGAAAAUUGGUUUUGCGAGCGCGGUUUCAAAGCGAACGUCGAAACAUAGGCGUAUGUACUCGAAACACGCGUGUUUUACCAUUCCGUCAGAAGUCGAUUGCGAUGUAAAUUUUAAUUUACGGUAAAUUCGAUGUGGAAUUAAUUUCAGUACGCGUCUCGUAUAUUGCAAUUAGCGUAAUAUAUUUUGUUGCAGACCGGCGGCGGCGGUAGGCACCGAAACGUGAUUGUUACGGGAUUUCAAAAAAAAAAACCUGCACCCGCAGCAUCCGAUAUACAGCGGGGUUUAUUAAACGCGCAACUUAUUAAAAGUUGUUGGUUUUUCGAAUGUCCGCCGCGCGCGUGCAUCGCGUGUACAAUAACCAUUUUAUGAUUGCGAUUUUCGAAAAACCGAGAAGUUUCGCUAGUAGAAUUAUCGUCGACGAGUGGUGACGACGCGCUGUUUGUUAUAUUUCGUGACUUUGCUUUAACGUUAAUUUCACUUUGAAUGCGUUUAAUAAUUCGUGUAUUACAAUUCAGCGUCCUCGGCUGCGGCGGCGUUCCUCUCGUUCCAAAUAUAUUGUCCGCGGGACGUCUCAUUAUCGCGCGGCGAAACUGCGGGUCCGCUCUGUCCCCCGGAAUCUCGGCGGGAAUUUUAAAACGUUCUACGCUCGCGGAACCGAAUACGUCCUGAGAACAGUGCCCGAUUACACUGCACAAAACACUAAAGCCGUGUUGUUUUAUUUUGAAUCGCUAUUUAACGAAAACCAAAAUCCAAAAGCGGUGUCGCCUCCGAAAACCACGCCGACGCAGAACAACGGUAAUAUUACAUUCCGUUUUUUUUUUUUUCAUACAAUUUCUAUAACUAACGAAUUCCGGGGAAAGAAAAAAAAAAUAUACGGAAAAUAUGCGCGGGGCCACCGUUGUAGACGGACGGUUCGAAAGGUGAACGGGAACUUUAACGCGCAUCUGUGCGUAAUCAUUAACCGCCGCUAACGAAAAAACCGUUCUGAGCGGAGUUCGGUCGAUAAUGUCGCUCUGUCAACAAUAUAAUACAAUGCAUCCACAUAUCAUCGUGGUAAAAUAAAUAAUCGCGUAUGCGUUGUACAAUAUAUUCUUCGAUAAUAUCCGUUUGAUACCGUACCUAUUUUUCCGGAAAAACUCCUGAGAAUAUCCCGAAAACGACGUCUCUCAAGUACCGCCCCCGUGAGAUUUCCGUACCGCGGGCCGGCGGAGUGAUUUCGAAAAACGUGAAAUUACAUCGAGUUCUAGACGGCGGACGGGGACGCGCGGGCCGCACAACCGCGCGCGGCCAUUUCCGAUUCGCGCGCGCGGCGCGGCGAUAAUACGGGAGUUUAGGGGGCGCACAUUGUCGUUGUUGUACGGCCGCCGCGCGGCAAUCGGUGACCGGCGGUACGGGUACCCCCGGGUACCUAAUGGAUUGGACGACGGCCAAGUCCGCCGGGUUCGUUACGUUAUUGUUAUUAUUACCGUCACCGUUAGUUUGUCGGCGCGCGACGGGCCCGGGCGCAUAAGGCGGAACCGGCGCAAACUAAUAAAUUCAUUUGCGCGUGCCCCCUACUCCGCACCCCGCACCGUGCGUGGUAUGCGCGUAACGCACGCGUGCCUACUCGUUCCCGUCGGCGCGCGGCGACCCCGGUUUCCGGGACGUCGCGCGCCUACGCGAAACCCGCGGCCGCGUUCGACCGUCACCCGCGCGGACAUCGCGACGGUUUGUGUCCGGUCGGUCGCGUCGAGACGCGUUCGGCCGGAACGCAAAUCCUGUCGGUCCGGUGACGAGAGCCGGUGAAUCGGUGAUCCGGGACGACAAUUGUGCGCGGCCGGGUCGGGAGGAGUCUGCGCGAUAAAAAAAAAAAAAAUAAAUAACACGUACGCGCUCGAGGCGCCCGAUCGUUCGGGAUUGUCGGUUUUUUGUGUCGAUUGUCGUCACGCGUCGGUCUUUUCCAACGAUUUGUGCGUUUUGAACGCGUCCGACCGGUCGAUCGGCAAUCGCGAGUCCCGCGCGUCGCGUAGUCUGCGAUCGAUGUGCGUUAUCGGUCAACAAAUUUUCAUUCCCGUAUCGAAUAGAAAACCAUCAUUUCGACCGCGUUCCUUCGUAUUGUUCUUUCGGUUUCCCACCUCCCUCACCUCUCGUUUGAAUCGUCUGUCGCCAAAGCUACAAUUAUUGCAAUGCAAGUUUCUGUUACGUGCUGAACCGAAAACAUCCGAAAUAAGAGGACCCGAAACGAUAAUAAUAAGGUAACGGACCGAAGAACAGACUGCGGUAACCGGGUUCAACUUGAUUCAAAAGUCGGUUAGGAAAACCACAUUUUCCCGGCUAUCACGUGCCCACACAAUUGCGCGGACUCGAAACAAUAAUUAAUAAUGUAACGGACCGAAGAAACGAUUAAGGUUCCAAGACUCAAUUCAGAGGUAACCUAUAGUUAUUUAAACGGGGUUACCUAGUGUUUUGUAGUACUCACCGAUCGACGUACACCUAUAUGCUCACUUUUGUUUUUGAUCGAUUCAGUACAAAUUACCGUGGUCUUUUAAUACAAAAGCGUAGCAAAAUUCAAAAUUACCCACCUGAGUUGAACCGCAGCAGGAGGUACAGCAAUCAUUUAGCUAACGCAUCGGAGAUUGGAGGAGGCAUUUCUACGUUAGAACACCGCGCCGCACAAGGACCUAACAUUCCCUUGGCCGUCCGACUAGUAAAGCUAAUUACCAAAGGUCUCGCGGUACGUUUCAUGAUUUGAUACAGUAUGCGUCCAAGGAAGAACCUUGCGUAUACGACACGCCUUUAUAAGGGCUUUAUAUCCAAAGACGUUUGCAAUAGUACAACCUAAAAAAAAAAAAACCGCAGUAAUAAUAGUCGAGGUGAAAACGGGUAAUUUUCAGGAAAGUGGGUUACAAUAAUUAAUGAUUCUGUAUUUGGUAAUUGAGUUCCGUUUUUAAUUUCCCAGGUAAAUCAAGUCCCGUUUAAAAAAAAAAUAAUAAUAAUAAUAAUAAAAGUAAUUAAGUGGUGAAACGAGCACCGUCUUUUAAAAUUGAAUGAGGUAAGUCGAGUCGCAGAUAAAAAUCAAAUCUCCGGCUUAUUUGAAAUAUAAAAGGAAAUACCGCGAUGAGGCGGUCGGCUGGAACGUAUACAGGAGUAAAUUUAUUUAAAAAAUGUAGGACUCAAUUUACUGUUUUUCAAAAACGACACGUAUAUUGAACUACACGGUACUUGCUCAGUUUACUGUUGUGCUCUAACGGUUGUUUGCAUGUAUUAUUCUCGACAAUCUUUAAUCGGGCUAAAAUGUAAUGGAUUAGAAAAUGAAAUAAUAUUCGCGGUAUCGUCGUAUUAUGCAUAAUAAUGGUUUUUGGUGGAGGGCGUGUGAAAAAGUUUCGAGUGGUCGGUUAUUACAAAAAUACAGAGUCGAGAAGUUGUCCGUCUUUUGCCGGGCUUUCAGUUAAAACGAAAAGAGUGGGGGGGGAGGGAAAUGAAUUAACGUCGCCGAAAAAAACGAUAAAAAAGCGAGCCGAGGGAGGGAAAAAACAAAGAGGAGAGUGGGUUUUAACGAAGAAGAGCAGCGAAAAAAAAAACAAAAACCGAACGAGGGGAUUAUGUUGUCGUGAACGAAAAUAAAUAAUAAUAAUAAUAAUGCUAACAACGAUAUCAAAAACCCGAGGAGGCGCCGGGCCGGACUAAAAGAGUAUAAUAAUAAUAAUAAUAAUAUUUUUCCCCUCUUGUAUAAAAAUAUUUUUGUUAUUUAUUUAUUUACUUAUUUUUUGUUUUGACAAAUGGACAUCAGUCCGUCGGACCGUGCGCCGCGUUACGCGCGAUGAUGUCUUCACUCAUCAUAAUUCAAAACCAUCUGCUCGCCUCUAAUGGCUCGUUCUGGUGACGAGGAACGCCGCCGGUUUUGGCAUCGUAACCCGGCACUCCGUAGAGCUAGUAUACGCAUUUAAUGUGCAUAUAUAUGCACACCGACCCUGCACGUCACUUCGUCUCAACUCCCGCACGAGAGAUGCCCCACUUGACUUUAUACACUCGCCAUCCCUUGUCUGGGUCCCUUUCCCUAUCGGUCUUCGCCCGGGGAGGGAAAGUAAGUUUCGGCCAUCGUAUCCGCGCGAAUCCCACUGUACCAGCGGCAGUGGCGGUCUAUCGACCACCCCGAUACGACGGCGCGGCGACGACGACGUUUAGCGGAUGUUUUGAGUACCUACUUUACUAAAAUAACAUAGUGUUAUUUGAUUAUAUGAUUCGUUGAAAGUUUGUCGUUUUCAAGGAGAAACGAUAAUACGUUAUUAUCGGAUAGUGUCUAGCUGAGAUGCGUAUCAAGAAAUAUUCGAAAGACGAAAAAAAAAUAAAUAUUGUUUCUCUAGAAAUACGGGUGUCCCACCCAAUAAGAACGUUGAAAAAAAAAACGAGUCUAAAAAGACAAAACAAAACUACACGAUUUUGUACAAAAUGAAUUGUGAUUUUAAGUAUGAGAUAUUAUGCCGUUUAAAUUGUCCGAUUGCCCCUCUCUCUGGGACUGUUGACUUGUCCUAACGCCGUAGAAAGCUUGGCUGUAACUGCCUUACAGUUCUUCUUGACGAGAUUCCCGGCGACGUGAACUCUUCGAAUUUUUCAUUUUAAAUAAAGAAAUCUUCGACGACAGUUCAAGGCUUCGGUGUAAUCUUCGUAAACCCGAGAUUUCACGGUACCCCCAAAGGACGAAAUCACAUUACACGCGGUUGUCUGUUUUGAUCUGCCUGAUCAAGAAUCACUGUCGCAUUAUAGUAAAUAACGAAAAUGGCAAAAACAAUACAGUCAAUUGAAUAACGACGAAAACAGCAGUCAGUUUUUUUUUUUUAAAAAAAAAAGUCGUUCUUAUGCAAUUCGUUCCGGUCCAUCGCCAAACAUAAUAUGAAUAAUUUCUCGAUAAUGUGCAAUAAUAAUCGACUAAGACGUGUCUAGUAUUGUUUUUGAACAGCGGUUCCCGGCCUUUUUGACACUACGGACCAGUCGGACCAGACGUUAAAUAGGCCGCGGGCCACCUCGAUUUGCCGACAAUCUCCUUUACGGUUUAUUUCUUCGCAUCUACGGGACAAUAAUGACAUGCGUAAUACCACGCGAGAUGCUUUCCGUUACACGGACCACCGACACGGGUCGGACUCAACUGCAGUGUCGGAAUCCGCGAAAAUCGUAUGCUUGUUGAUUCGAUCGUUACGGGAACGGGUCGGUCCGAGAAAAGAACAACCCGUUGGACGGUAAUGAAAUCAAUAAAUGCGUACCGUUGAAACAAGUCGAUAUUACGUAAUAUCACACAGACCCCCCGGCUCCGUGAUGUCCGAUGUCAACUCGUACAUGACUGUACGCCGAUGUUUUUUUUUUUUCCCCUCUAAACAAACAGAAACCUUUUAGUGUUAUAUCAUAGUGUAUGCGUUAUACGACUAAUGCCGCGAACCGAUUAAGUGUUGUGUAUAGGUACCGUACAGGUACUUAAUGCGUGGCAUUGUCCGUCCAAUCGGGUCAACGGUUUUUAGAUUUAAAAAAAAAAUCAUACGAAAUUGACCGUCCGCCGAUUUAAACAAUUUGACUACAUUCGUACGAAGGGCCCGGUAAUGUAAAUUGGAUUUGCGUACUCGAUGGUAGGCACGGUAUAAACGCGUGACUGUAAGUGUACACUACGAUACACGAGUGUUUUAUAUGUAAUAAAAAACAAAGUCUCGACCGAGGACAUUAUGGGCACGAUCGACUACCAUAAUAGUACGAAUAUUUUAGACGGCUUCGGGGGUCCGUUCGUAUAUUAAUUAUUUGAAGCCGUAACGGUAUUUUAUUAUUAAUUUUAUACUCGACCGUAUUAUUCGCCUCGCUUAUUCUUAACGUCCCGAAGUCUCUAUCUUUACACUCGGCAACGAGACGGUAAAUAAUAAUAAAAAAAUAAAAAUAAAUAAAAUACGCGAAAUGCCGAAAAUUUACGAUUUCCAUUAAAAUUUGAACAUUAGACGCUCGUAUAAAAAUAAUAAAAAAAAAAAAAAAACCUACUGAAUAACGCUAAAAUUUUUCAAUUGAAUAGUUCAGCGCAACAACAAGGCGAGUCCAAAACGACUUUAUGAUGGUUUCCAGUAAACCGUUAAGUUACGUAAUUCGGUGCAUUAAUAACGCAAGUCCGUCUUCUAGGUACAGAGAAAAUAGUGAUGAGUAAUUGGUUCAAUCUAAUUCUUGGAAAAAAGAACGCAAGUCUCAGAGAUGGACGGUUGCUUUCAUCUUCUUAAAAAAUUCCCGAAAAGUAGACUGGUUUUAUUGUUGUACUGAACCUUUAAUUUUUUUUUUUAACCAAUAUUUUUUGAAUAUUAUUAAGUCAUUACGUUUAUCAAUUUUUUUUUUUCAAUGUAUACGCUUAACGCCUUUUUAAUUAAUUAUGUUAGGUUUAUUAUUGAAACAAAUAAUAUUGAAAAAAAAAAAACACCCAGAGUAAUGAAACGGUUCCCUUUUCGGUUUCCUCUACUUUUUAGCGAUCUAUCAGGAAAAUCAAAAAUAUAAACAUACCAUCUUAACGUUCCUACUACAGAUACAAAUUGCUAAUAGAAAAAAACUAAUCUGAAAUGUACGACACACUACUCGGCCGGUAGGUAUACGUUCAUUUUUCUCUGUUCAAAUAGCCAAUCUAUGCAAAUCAGCGUGUUUCGUAAUUUUUUCCAUAAAUGUUUUUAUUUAUAUUCUUUUACGGCCGAUUAUCUGUCCCUAAAACGCGUUUGUCGGGAAAUUGUUGUGCUUCAGCGGGUAACCGAACAAUUCCACGUUAUUUUCGCCAUACGUUGCGACCUCGGCUGUUCGGAAUAAAGAAAAUUGUGUUUUUACACGAAUGGAUGUCUGCCUGUCUGUCUCAUAAUUUCUCGGUAAAUAACUGUUUACUUAGUUAUUUAUUUCGAAUACACAACCGUUUACGCGUACUAUCGCGUUUUAAUUUCAUCACAAUUGAAAUAUUACAGUGUACAUAUUAAUAUUAAAAAAGAUACGGACAAACUUUGCACAACGGGUGGUCCAUUGUUGUAGGUGAGAAUUUGGGAAGAUAGAGAUAAGUAAAGAUAAAGAGGGGAAUUCAACGUUUAUUUGUACGCGCGGAUUAAUCUUUGAAAAACGAUUCUGAGCGGAGUUCGGUUACACGUGUUUUAAAUGGUCGUAAAAUUUACUAUUUGAAAAUAAUGCAUUUCGUGCUUUUUCCCGGGGUUUCUUCACAUUUAUUAAGACAACCCCUAAAAAAAAAAAAUCAAAAAAUGACCACCCGAAAAAGUACCACACCAGUCAAAUUUUUUUUCGGAAAAAUUGCUACAUUUUAAAAUGUGAGCGAAAUUGCCGGCAGAAAAGUCGUCCACAGAACAAAAAACAAAACAAAACAUAAACAUCAUUGUAAAACCGCCAAUGCGUUCAUCGUUCCGCUAAGAAUCUAAAAUUACAAUAGCUACGUAUUUCGAUUGUUUGGACGAACUAGGUGGUUCGGCGGUUGGACUAACAAAUCGAUUUAUAUUCGCUUACGUUCCAUUUCAUUAGUCGCGUAGUAUUUGUUCCAUCGUGUAUGUAAUUAUUGUUACUUGUCGGUGUAAGUCGUUACCCAUAGCGUGAGUUGUUCUAGUGUAAUAUUAUGACGAGGUGUGCAGUGGAAAUAUAAUCUAUUUAACAAAUCCGCGGACAGUAUCGAUGACGUCUGCUAAAUUCGUGUAUAAUACGACGGUAAAAAACUCGACAAUUUCAAACGGCUAUUAUAUAUUUUUCGAAAAUCACCAGUUAAUUUUCGUGCCAUUGCGAUUAUUUUAAACAAAUUUAAAUAAAUUUAGAAUUGAAAAAAAAAAACAAACAAAAAAUGUGCAACUGACCGAAAUAUUUGAAUUUUCCGGGGUCCGAGGGGUUUUCUCCAAUUGUUACAAAAAAGGACAAGGGCGAUAAUAAAAAGAAAAAGAAAAAAACCCUCCUAACAGUUUUACUUACUUCUAAAUCGAAUAUUUGAUCACGAACCGCUUUUGAUAUUCAUGGACAGAAUCUAACCGGAACAUUUCGUAUUGAAAAUUUGUACACAGACAAAAAAAAAAAAAAAAUAAAAAUAUUAAUAAUAUUAAUAAAGAGCCGAUGCCUACUGCUGUUGGGAUAGAAUUUGAUGUAAAUUCGAACACGCUGGAUUUCCAUUUAUACAAAAUAAUCUCGUCGCGACGUGGGAAAAAAAAGAAAACGAUUAGCCGCACGAUGUUCGCGUUUCGGAACCUUUUUUAAAUCGUAAAAACAUAAUACCGUGUGUUUUAUUGUGUAUAAAUCACGGGAAACGCCGCAAACCACAAUGCCGACGGAUUUUAUUUUUUUUCUGCUGUGUUCGCAUUAAACUUAGGUAGGUAUAUACUCGCGUACUUUCACCGGGUCUGAACAGAUAACCGCGACUUAGUUACCAAUACAGGUAGUUAAUGAUUCAGGGCGGCACUCGUGGUGCGCGGAGAGUGAAAAGCCACUCUUAUGUUGGUGCGGAUCGGUACUAAGUACAAUUGUUAUUAUUAAACAGCGUUUUAGCGGUUUUGUCAGCCGUCGCGAUCUUAAAUCCUCCGUGUGAUUACUAUUGGUUUGUGUAACGUCACAUCUGCUCGCGAAUAAUAAUACGGCACAUAGAUUGCUAAGUGAAUAUUAUUAUGACUUCGCGAAGUGCGUGGUGGGUUAAGCCUACAAACGUCGGCGUAUCACCGUUUCCGGUUUAGAUACCGUCCCCCAUUCCUUUUUCCUCUCCGAGGUUCAUCGAGUCGGUACUAUGUACAGAGUGAUUUCAUUUUUAUCACGGACCAACAAUGUUCUCGGCGGAUUUUAAGUGAAUUUGAUUUCCGUUUUGUUUUUAUUCGUUGUCGAAUCGAUUAGGCUUUAUACUUUUGAUUUUCCAACAGGAACCUCUCUUUUCGAAUAAAUAAAAUAUACUCAUUUAUGGUACACGGAAUACUGGUAAAAAAUUAAAAAUGGUUUCAAAAUAAAGCUUGACUAAUUCCACAAUGAUUAAAAAAAAUAAUAAUAAUAAAAAAAACGGAAAUCACAUUCACUUAAAAUCCUCCUAGAAACUCCUGAUUUACAGUAAAAAAAAAUUAUCUCUUUAGGCAUUUAAAGAUACACUCGGAUAUAAAAAUUGACGACGUUUAUGUAGACCGAUAAUUUAGUUACAUAUUAUGUGUGAGAGGCGGGAGGUUAUUGGUAUUUUUGCCAAUUGUGCCAUGCCAACAGUGUUGUUCGUGUUUUUGUACGUUUCGGCCUACUGUUUGUACUGUAUCUAGCCGUGGCUUCAAAUAAUGUAUAAUGCAUGCUUCACUUUUCAAAUUUAAAGAAAUGCUAUCUUUAUAUUUUCUUAUUACACUGUUGACAGUUAAUUUAAAAAGAAAUAUUUUUUUAAAAUAAACCUACUUUUUGUGCAAUGAACAGCUAAAUGAAUACAUGUUCUUGCAAAUUGAUUAAAAAGUGUUGUGGAAGGACUAAAAUUUUCCACGGCUUAAAUACAUUCCGGGGGUAUGCUGAAGCCCCUCAAAGUCCUUCCUAACGUUUUCCCGCAUGACUUAUUGUAUUUUAAUUUUCUCUCGGUUUAUUUUACAAUAUACUAUUAUAAUAUCAUAUUUCUCAACCGUAAUCGGUUUGAAUGUCGCCGGAUCGGAUGAAUAAUUUGCAGACUGUUUAUAUCGGUUUUUGCGAGCGAAAUACAAAUUCGUCGCCGUUGAUAUCGUCACUCGAAACUUUGCUGGUAAAGCGCUGUAACAAAUUGUGCUGCCAGCGUGGUAAUAGUUCGAGAGACAGAAAAAACCGAUUGCGUCGCGGGACGCUCGGCAAAAGUGAAACUUCGAGUAUCAUCAUUUCUGAAAGUUAUUUAGUGUGAAAUUCAGUAGGCGUGUUUGAAGAUAUUGAGCCGUGCGAUUCGUCCAUUUAAUUAAUUUCAUUGGAAGUAAGUGAAAGGACAAUAAAAUAAUAUCAAAACUGAUGUAAACCAUAACGAUUUGUACAUUGUUUUGUUAAAUCAUAUUAUAUUAUAAUUUCAAACAAUUACACAUUUAAUAUCACAACAAAUCCAUCUCUCGCGAUCGUACUUCAAUAGCGGCACGUAAAUAAUACAACGUUGUCGGUCGAUUCAAGCUCGAUGAAAUUGCGAUGCUGUGUUGUAAACGUUAUCGAUUUCGGAUUGCUUUGUCUCCAGGAAUUCGGCUACCGCCGUUCGCUCGAUUGCCCAUGUCGAAAUCCAAUCGAAAAUCACUCUCGGCGUGUUGCGCACGCAAAAACGCGAAACAUAAGUUCUGCGAUCGUCGGUAUCGAACCCGACAACAAUGGUUCGCGAGUGUCGGUACGCCGGCGCCGGAAUCGACGAUCCGAAAACGAUUCGACGCCCCAACUACAAAUAAGCAAAUACGACUGGAAAUGUCCGCGCGCGCUGUUCAAAUAGGCCAAUCACGAACGGAGAACGGUUCGCAGGUGUUGAAACCGAUCCCGAAAUGUUAAAUAUUUUUCCAGCGUUUUACAGUACGCACCCAACCGUAACAACGGGGAAUUUUCGUUCAGGACACGACGGGAAUUGACGAUAACCGUACUAAUGGCAGUACGGUAUUUAAUCGCGGUGACGAAAACGGCGAUAGUUUUUCCUCUUUUUCGGGACCCGCUCGAUUAAAACAGCCACGCGUCAAUAAUAUUAUUAUUAUGCGCCGCCGCCGCCGCCGUUUUCGAAUUUUCUCGUCUUCCCGGUCGUUUGGAGUCGUUUCAAAAACAAUAAUAAUUCCGAUGACGUUAUUACACUAUGAUAAUAUUAAUAUACCGCGUAAUACGGAAACGGCGGGGCGCGCCCGUCGUCAUCACUUCGAAUCGAUCGGCGCUAUAAUGUGUCGGGCGCAUAGAUUAUAAUAUAAUGCGAGUAUAUGGAAAAAUGUAAUUUCGCGUUGUGAGCCAACGGGAGCGAAUAAAAAAAAAUAAAAAAAAAAAAAAAAACAUAUAGCAAACGAGGUCGAUUCAAUAUUGGUUUCCGUUCAUGAGAGGCGGCGGUGAUUUUUUUUUUAGCCGAUUAUACAGUACGCAUUAUAUGGUAUUAUAAUGUACAAUAUGUAAAAUGUUCUUCGUCGUAUUAUAUGCUUCUGUUAGAGUUUCGGGUUGACAACCCGAAUGGAACCAUUCCAAUGGUGGUAUUCGUCGACCUGCAGUGCAUAUACGUGGCGAAACAGAUUACGAAGGCGACGACGUGCCCAGAGGGGGGGGGGAGAUAAGGGAAAUUUCCUACUGGCCGUGUUAAAUGAAAAAAAAAAAAAAAAAACAAUCAUACAAUCUAUUCAUUAUAUGCAUUGAAAACUUAAUACUAAUACAAUAAUAGUCGUUGCAUGUUUCGACCGAGUACAAAUAAUUGUAUUAAUUACUAUGGAUUUCGCUAACUAGUUUUUUUUAGCUUAACCUCUCCCUACUCAUUGAACAUCCUGAAUACGCUACUGCACGUAGGCAUUUGGAAAUAUCGUAUCCUAUAUAGGACUCGUAUUUAAAUGGAUUAAAAAAGGCCACUCAAAAAAUGAGCAAAGAACGAAAAAUGCACAGAAUACGAAAUGCAAAUGGUCCCUUUUUAGAUGUCCGUUAAAAUUAUCUAGUUAAUUUAAUGCCUUAUGCCUUUAUAUCAGCGGAAAAAAAAAUGCAAACUUUAAAACAAUAGAACAAUGAUUCUUAAUAUUCAUACAAUGUGACGAACAUUAUGAAAAUACAAUUUUUCGAGGUAACGUUUGGAUACAUGAAAAACUAAUGAAAUAUUUUUGAAAAAACUUUGGAAACAAUAGUGGAAAUGAGGCGAAAAUACAAAUUUCACUUUUGAAAACUUAUCUGCAGUCACGCGAACCUAAUAACGAAAUUCUGAUUAUUAACAACGAUCGCGUCUUAAUGUCUUUAAUAAUAAACGACGCGAACGAAAUAAUAUUCUAUCGAACCGCAUUGUUUACACGAGGAGGGAGUGGUGAGUUUUUGUCAAGCCCCAAAGAUAAUUAAGGGCGGGCUGAAAAAUUUAAAUUUCGCAAAUAUAAGACAAUGAUUUAUACGCACAAGUCCCACUUUUUUCCCCUUCCUAUUGAUAUGCAUAGGUAAAUGGGAAAAUAUUCGCAGAUCAAUAGGGUGAGCCCAAAACCACCAGCGGUAUAGCUGACAAAUAAAAUUUCGUUGCGAUUCCAGUACAUUCUAUAGACGUGUUCGGUCGAACUUCACCGCGCCUCGGCGGGCUCGUGGAUACAAGUGCGUUUCAGGCGGUGGUCGCCUUAAACUUGUUAAUAUAAUUAUUGUAUCUAAAAAUGUAGUCGCCGGCUAUAAUAAUAUUGUUGUUACCAUAACAGCCCGAACGCGCCGAACUUAAAGCUUCUUUGCAGACGUUACGCGAGCUUACAAAAUCCCCUGACAAAUUUACCGUCACGUCGUGCACACACGCGCGUACCCCGUAAAACGAUUAUAUUUAUAUACGAGAUUUUACAUUUAAUAAUAUAUUUUAUAAUACAGUGCUGUGUGUGCGCGCUAUACAAGAGACGUUGUUAUUAUUGAACGUUGAAAACCUCUUUCAUAUAUUCAAAGUACCCACCUAUAUGUACGUAAUAAUAAUAAUAAUAAUAAUACAUUUAAAAAUGUACAGUUUAAUAUUAUACAAUAUUAUAUUCGUGUAUUAUAAAUGUGCGUGGGAUAUUUUAAGAGGGAUUAUUACGUAAAAGAAAAAAAAAAAAAGAAAAAAAAAAGCGCAUUAUUUUUUUUUUCCCCCUUUGUGAAAAAUUCCAUACGCGGGACACAUUAUAACACGGGUAAAAAUCGUAUUUGCACUAUAAUUAUUGUAAUUUUAUAUUUGUAUUAUAUUAUUAUGUUGCCUAUUUAUGUUUUUUUUCGCCCGGACGUAUUAUUUUAUAAACGCAUUAAUACUGUUGAAUAACGGACGGACACACUGCACCGCCGCGCCGGGUCGGGCCACUGCUGUGGCCGAGCGGUUGGGAAGAUAGGAUACGGAGAGGAAUUUGAUUUGCAUCUAUACGCAACGGUAAACGAUACUGAGCGGAGCUCGGCAAUAUAGUAUUGAUUUUUCAACGAUGUGCGGUUUGCACGACAAUAACGUGUUGUUUAAAAAAGAUUAAAAGAUUAAUUUAAUAAAAACUUAAUAAUCACGAAUGAUAAAUAAAAACUGUUGUCAAUGACAACGUUAUAUUCAAUCUUUUAAUCUAUUGUUUAACCCGACGAACCGGUUUUCCCGCGUCAUUUCGAAUGUUAAUGAGAAUUUCAAUAAAUAAACAUUUAAAAAACCAAUUAGAGCCAAAAUGCAAGAGAAAAGUUCUCUUUUCAUGUUUUGAUUGGAGUAAGAUUUCUCGGAGAAAUGUUGUACUCAAUAUAAAAAUAAUAAAAAUAAAUACAAAAAUAAACAUCAUUACAAAACCAAUAAAUUCCUCGUUUCGUUCAACCUAAAUUUUUUUAAAUUAUCCUGUUAUUAUAUUGUUGAUAUAUAUAUUACCUGUAUUGUACCUAUCUGAAAACUUUUUUUAUUAUUUUUCUGGUUUACGCUGAUUACCGUCUUCUUUGUAUUAUACUACGCAAUAAACUACUCCACGAGAUUAUUAUCAAUAAAACGUAUACUUUUAGCCUUUAGGUACCUACAUUAUAACGGUAUAGUGUCUGCAUCUAUCUUUUUCGUAUUUAUUCUUUCUUUGUUAACGGCGAAAAUAAUCCAUUUUUUAUGUUUAUUGCGUACGAUAUAAUUGACUUUUUUUUUUUUUAUCACGAAUACUAUUAAAUUUAUAGUAUUUGCUAAUCUCGAAGAAAAAAAAAACAACAGAGUAAAUACUUCGAGACAUUUCAGUAUACAUAAAUGCUCGUAACCGUUAUAUUAUAAGGGCUGUUGUAUUAAUAAUAGGGCGACCGAGUAAAUGAUCAUCUCCUAAUAGGCCUCGACUAUAUAAAUUCGUAUACGACGUUUAAUGGUACAGGUAAUAUUAUACUUAAAGCCGAAAAACAUUUUUCUUUGUUAACGUUUUAUACAACAUGAGUGUUGGAUAUAUUUAUGGAUGUCGUUAUUUGAAAAAAAAUGACUCUAGGACAACGCGGUUUCUGCAAUCUUACCGUGCAAGCAUGGCACUAAUAUCAUUUGAAGGAAUUUGGAAAUUUCGGACGUUAGCGUUAUUCGGAGUUGGCGAAUCAUAUACUAACAUGUUUACUCUGUCAAAACCAUUUUAUCCAUACUGUGCCAUUGUUGUAUGUGAGAUUUUGGGAAAGUAAAAUACGUAAAGUUAUUAAGUUUAUAUUUGUACACAACGAAAACCAUGGCUAAUAGAAACAAAUUCUGAUCGAAGUUCGGUUAUUUAUGUUUUGAAAUGGCGUGAAUUUACUACUAAACUAGCUAAUAAAAUCAAAAAAAAAAUCUACUAGAAACAUUAUAAUAUAACUUUGUAUUUUAUACUACUAAGUAUAAUUAAAUAAUGAAACUCGUGUUAUAUUUUCAAGCAUUUCUAUUCAGACAACACAAUUAUAUCCACAUAUUUUUUUUUUUUUUUUUUUAAUUUAAUAAAAAGUAGAAAAUACCAAAUGCCUAGUAUAAUAAAUAGUUUUUAAAAAAAUUGUAUUUUUAAAAAUGUUACCGUGCCUAGAAAAAUCUAAUACAAGCAGUGCGUAAUCAUUUCAGGUCUAUAUUGUUGUCUCUAGCCAAAGCACUGCAAACGAAAAAAAAAAAAAAAAAUCGAAAAUAAUGAAAUCGGUAUUAUCGUAAACAUCCCUGUGUUCAAUAGGUUUUUUCCGGGUGUUCCUAGUCAUUAGGAAAACUAGGAGUGAAAUCAAAGACGGCCGGUUCCAAUGCACCAACUGAAUUCCAUUUGUUUUCAGGAAAGUCGUUAGGCACACUUGAAAAUCGAAAGCAAAUAUCCGGUAGAGGAGUUGUUCACAGCUCCGCGGAAGAAAAAAAAAAACCGCUCAAAAUCUUAAAUGCACAUUAGUCUAACGAAAAUACCAAUUUACAAUGCAUACGCGGAAACGGAUUUUUUCGAGAGGCAAACCGAAUAACGAAACCUUUUAUUUAAACAACAUAAUCCGUUCUACGACAAAUGGAAUUAUCAUAAGCCCGAGUAUUGUUUUCCUUUCUUGAAACGCUCGUGUUCCCCUUCCGAUAUUCCGUAGCGGGUGUACACUAAUAAGCACGUGCACUUCGAUAAAUUUUAAUUAAAACCAAUAACGUCGUUACAGUGCUCUUGUGUUCCGAUGCGCGGGCCCGUAUGACGAACCGCGCGCUCCGGAAGAUCCCGUAGAGUUACUGCGCGAGUCGCGGCAUUGGUUUUGUAUUAUUAUUGCACUUGUUAUGUACACGCGUGUAUAUUUAUGUAGCCAUAUCGUUUUUGUUUCGAGGUAUAAAAUUGUCGGGCCCGUGUGUAUCCGUUUAACGUCGUCGUAAGCUCGCUGAGGAAAAAAAAAAAAAAAAAUUGAAAAAAAAUCAUAUUUCGUACUCGCGAACAAUGACGAAAACGCGACGAACGAAUUAUACGAAUAGACAGUAGUCUGAAGAACGUGUUAUCGAUAGGGCCGGGAUUCCGAUGCACUUUUCGUUUUUUUUUUCCAAAGGUCGCUGCGCAACGCUCGUCCGGUCACGAAUCCUACACCGAUGGUUUUUUCUACGAAUUUACCAAAUUAUAAACGGGAUUUUUUUCGGACAUUAUAAUCCCGCUCGCGAAGUCCGGAUACCUAUAUCACUAUAAGAAUACUGUUAAUUGAAAACAAAUACCGUCCUACCAUUCGGAUAAAUAAUACACGUAAACGAAAUAACAUCCUAUAUCGGUUGGAAAUAAUUGUUCACGGUUUGUUUCGUUCAAAUUCAAUAUCCACGGACCCGUAGGUCACACGAUAACGUUUUAACACCGAACUCCACUUAACGACCGCCGCUUGUAUCUGCUCUUGAAAUCUGUAUACAAAUUUGUUGUAUGGUAUUAUUGAUUGUUCAAAAUUAUUAUCAUUAAUUCGUUUCGGAUUGAAUAAUGUUAAUACUAAUACGCUCCUUGCCUUUUUAUACGAUUUUCUCUAACGAAAAAAUAUAUUUUAAAUUACCCCGCUGACAUUUGAACAGGUUUAGUUCAGGUAGUACCUUUAGAUUUGAUUAUGUUUAAUACUGUUUUAAUGUAACUUCUUAUAAUUUUAUAUUAUAUACUGUCUAUAAUCUAUUAGAUAAGAUUUUAUUAUGAUUAUUAUUUUUUAAUAUUUUUGCUCUGUAUUUUCUUUUCUUUACUUUUUAAUUUAUGAAAAAAAAAAAAAAAAAAAAAAGUUACAUUUAAGUAUUGUAUACUAAUGUAAACUGUACCUUGUACCAUAAUAAAUUUAUAUCAUGCUAUGUUUAGGACACUAGUCGGUAAAAAAAAAAUAUACAUAUAUAUAUAUAUAAAUAAAAAAUAAUUAAUAAGAAGACGUCGUACGUAGGAUAACAAAUUUUCGCCCGAGCGUGUGAAAUAUGACGGUUUGAAAAUGGUUUAUAUCUCGCUUACAAAUUUAAAUAACGAUAAAAAAAAAAAAAAACGGCGAUACGACACGGAAAAUAUUCUUAUUUUUGAGUUCGAUGUAGGCACGUUAUCCUCUCUAAACACGAGAUAAAAAUAUUGUCUUAUACUAUAAUGUAAUAUGCUAUAAUGCGUAUUAUGUUUUUUAAAACAUUUGGGGGGGAGGGGUGGUAUCAUCUUUUAAAAUUUUUUACGACUGUGUUUUGCUACCCUAUAAUCUAACCUAACGUAUACAUAGGCGUAUUUAAGACUUUUUUUUUUACCCGACAAUAUUUUUCCUUGAAUUUAUCAUAGACUGAUUAUAAACGCACGGUGUGCUUCUCCCCUACACAUUCAUCAAAAUUAGGAGUGGUUUAACACGCACGAUCCCCGCCCACCUCUAAAUGCGCUACCGGUUAGGAUCAUCAUUUUAAAGCGUUAUACGACUGCAGCGUAGGUAGAGGAAGAAACGAUAAAUAAUUUCACAGUGAAUACAAUUAUUUCAAUUUUAUUCCCGCGAAAACCCUUUAACGGAAUUAAAAUAAUAUUAUGUAUAUUGAACGGAACUCCGUCGGGGUUGUCGUUCGUGCAGCAGUAUAAUAUUAUUAUAAUAAGAGGCGUCGUGUGGAAGUCUCCGCAGCAGUAGGACCCGACGAAUAUAUAUUCUAUUAAAAAGUUGAACGUAUUAAAAAGCUAAAAAGUCCUAUGUAUAGGAGGUAUACGCACCGAAAACUUUCUUAAUUUAUUGACGCUGAUGGAGGAGUCAUUUUCUCUACAAAGAUCAAUAAGUAUACGAGGUAUGUAUUCCACCUACCUACCUGUCUACUAUUAUAAUAUGCGUAGUGUGCGUUCUCCAAAGCUUUGCAGUUUCGAAAUAAUAAUAAUAAAGUAAGUCGUUUAUUGAACGACAUCGUUGGUUCAUUUCUGUUCCGUUGCAGUUAGCGCUUCAAAAGUUAUUCUAGGAAUUUGUAUUUAAUUAACACCUGAAUAAUCAAUAACCUUCCGAGCCAUCGUAUUACCAUUUCGUUCGAUUUAAUCGCGGAUAUUCGUUCGAUACUUAUAGAUGCGUCACGUUCACGCUCAUAUAUCAUUUCGAGUACGGAUUUUAUAAAGUGAAAAAACAAAAAAAAAAAAAACAAAACCAACGAAAAAUCUCUAAAAAUGCUUUUCAAAAUAACUACCUCGGACAAGAUCGGUUGACGGUUUUCACGAGAAAUGAAAAAAAAAAAGUUACCUACCUACGUACUAUAAUAAUACGACGGUACUAUUGCACGGAUAUGAAACUGAAUCGUUGCAGAGGAAAAUGAACGAAAAACAUUUUUGAUGGUGUUCGAAAGAGAAAAUAUUGCCGAAUAUACUGCGGGAUCAGUAAAGGAUAACGUAACCACGUGCGGGGAUUGGAGACAAAGGAAAAAUAGACAGCGCUACAGUGGUUAAUAUUUGGAGAAAAUAAUGUUUUUAAGAUCAUAAAAAAAAAAAAUAAAAAAUGUAAAGACCACGAUUGGCUGUACAGGUAUAUACAUACAUAUAUAUAGGUAUGCUCGGAUAAGCUCAAAUCCACUAUACGGUAUAUACAGGCAGUGCUGGACCAGAAUCCAAUAUAGGGGAAAGGCAUUUGGGAGAGCAGAGCAUGCGGUUAGAAAAAGUGUAAAAACAAAAGCGGGAAGUUUCAGAACCAAAUAUCGGCGAUGAAUAAAUAUAGUUAGAAAAUUUUUUGUGAGACUGGGUGGUCAUUUAUCCAUGGUUAAACAAUUGGACAUGAUGGCCAUCACAGCAUUUUCAAAUCUAUUGUUGACUGCGCAUUUUAUACACAUCAAUGUAAAUAUUCCACGGGAAGAAAAUUCACAAGUCAGUGAAUUUAAUCACCGGAGCGUAUAUCCGAACCUCAACUGAGUUUUAGCACGAGUGUAUUUAGUUAGGGUCCGUGGUGCCUCGUCUGUACUCCGUACCCUAACCGUUUUGGGGCGAAUUAUUACGGCAAAUAUAAAUCAAAAACACACCGGUUCUAUGUAUUCUACAAAUACCUGUAAACACCACCCGUUAACCUAACCUAUAUUUUAUUGAAAACAAUCGGUUCUUUACAAUAAACUGAAUUAAUUGUUUAUUUCCAAUAAAUUGUAAUCAAUAUCAACAGUAGGAUUAUGGCGCAGUUCAAAUACCGAUAUUGGGCCAAUACUCGGCGUUGAAGUAUCGUUUUUUACAGCCACACUUACAACCUAACCUAACCUAACUUCUAAGCACUGGACGUCUCGCGCCCGUAAUAUUAAUUCUUCGCGCACAUUGUAGAAGAAACGUAUAUUCGUAGCCGUCUGAUGGGAUGGUCACCGGAAACGCUGCCACCGGCACUCAAUUUUCGCGACUCCGACUAAUUAUGUUUUUAUAUAGCGUAUAAAGAAAAAAAAACCACAUUUUACAAUUUAUUUCGUUUUAAAAAAUGGAUCGCGUUCAAUAAACAACAGUGGCGAAGCAGAAGAUAUCCGUAGGAAAUAUCGAACCGUUACGCGUCCGAUUUUUACCGUGUACGAUAAUUUGCCCGCGGGUUCGGCCGGGGCACAGGGUACGGUGCACUGCGGACCAGGCAACACGGACCCUGGCCGGACGCGGGCACCCGCGUCCCAACACGGUCAGGGCAGCGGGCAGUGGGCAGUGGGAAUACGCGCCGCCGGGUUUUCCGGCCGGCCGUAAAAACGUAAUAAACCGAAUACGUAACUGAUAAAAUCACGGCCCGCGGUCGUGUCUAUAGUUGUUUUUAGCCGCGGUCUCCGAUGCAGGCCGAAUAAAUCCCGACAACGCUAACAGGGUAGCGGGGCAUAAUUCGUCUCGUGCUCUAUGUUUACGUGUCGUACACACAUUAUAUACGACCGUGUAGAGUUUUCCGUCCCUUAUUCCGUUAUUUGUAACUGCGGUGUUUUGCUCUGCGGCAGUGUUUAUUGCGGUCUAUAAAUAAUAUUUAUUAAUAUUGUAUGUGUAUACGCGCGUGCGCGUGUGUGUGUGGUAUUUUUUUUUUUUUUUGUCGUCACAUUUUUUCGACACGGCACCGCUGACGGUUACCGCACACCGGCACCUACCGUGCGAGAGGUUCAAGUUUUAUAAAGAAAACAAGGCAAGUGUUUAUGUUUUAUUUAUCGUUUUAUUUUUCCCAAAACUCUUUUAUACAAUAUAUUAUAAAAUAUUUUCUGCUCCGGGUCGUCUCUCGGAUCAACCAAUGCGCCUCGCAAAAAUAAAAAAAAAAAAAAUACAUUUUAUUUUUCAUUCUUUAUAAACUUUUCAGACGAUUAUGAUAAUAAACGCGGAUAUCAAACGCCCGCGGUUUAGAUAUCGGGUUUUUUUUUACUUUGUUCAGUGCGGUUGUUUAACCUCGCAUCAUUUAAUUUGCGAAACGAAUAUAAUAUUUAUUGUAUAAAAAAAUCUACACUUAACGUAAUAUAGACUUACAGCAAAAGAAGAUUUACCAUCUCGUUUUUGUCGGCGAUUGAUUUAAUAACGGCAAAUCGUACAGCGGCGAUUUGCCCGGACUUAUGCAAUUUAAUAAAACGUCGCGAUUGUAUUUUAAUGGGAUACAUUUUCCCCGGCGGUUGUCUCGAGUGUUUAGAAAAACCAUAACCGGAAAUGUGAGAUUUGAAAAAUAUCGAUAGAACGAAACAUAUCGAAUUCGAAUCGCUGAACAAGAGAAAAAAAAAUUAAAUAAAAACUAUUGAUUACAUAUCACGGCGAACCUCGUGUUACAUUUUCUAGUGUUUUCUCUGAACCGAUAAAUAAUUGUACCCGCAUGAAAUCGAAUAAAAAAAAAGAAGAUUAAAACCUAAACGAUUUUAAACGAUUAUAAAUAGCACAACAAUCGCCAGAAUGUUUUUAAAACCGUGCCGUGUUUAGAAAAAGUGAUACUCGGCGAAAAUUUCACGGCAGUGAACGACAGUUUCCGGAUUGUUUUCUCUAAUUGUGAAGAAAACCACAAGGAGAAUGAAAAUAAAAUAUCACAUCCCCUCACGCACCGACUAGAAAACAUUUUAUACCGUCAAUCGUUUCCUGACUUUAUAGCGGUACCGAGAUUUCUGGUAGAAAAGUUGUCGAUAGACCGACGAAAAAAGAUAAAAAAAAAAACACCCAAAUACACACACAUGCUCGUAGUAAAAUCAUUUAAUAUAUAUUCCUCGUUCAGAAUCUAAAACUAAAGUUACCGAUUCGGUUAGUAAUAAUAAAGCUGAUGCGCUCGUAGUGCGCUGUUCGCAUUAUUAGAUCCGCGAAAUAAAAACGAUUUUAGUCGUAACCUCUUAAAUUUCCCGACGAGUUUCAAAACGAUAUCCACUUAGGACGGCGUGUCGAUAAAAACCAAACGUUCGAAAUCUACUGCGAAAACAUCAGCUCCAAUCUCGUCUCGGUCGACUGUAUGGCACUUCGUCGGCGCCGAUUUCCUCGGCAAUUUUAUCGAACACCAUAAUAUUUUCUCUCGUCUGUCGAACACUCGUGUAAUACGGACGCAGUCGGAAUACAUUUCGUAUAUAUAUAUAUAUAAAUAUCCGUCCUUAUCGAGGUCUCCUCGUGAGCAGCUCGCACGCGCGCCCCGUCAUCUCAUUAGGUUUUUAAAUUUAAAUAGUUUGCUUGUUCCUCUCCAACACCCCUCCUAAACGGAAAGGAACGGGGAGGGGGUGCGGGAAAAAAAAUCGUUUUAUUUUUACGGCUUGUAUAAAAAUUCGAUUUGAUAAAAUGGCCUGAGAGAGUACCCGUACGGGUGUACGUAUGACACUCGUGUAUACUCGCGCGCGAAACGUUCGAUUGUAAAAAAAAUCGUCAAAACUCCCCGGAGCCGAUUUCCCGGGACUUACAGGUACAGACAAUAUAGGUAUAGGUUAUAUACGGACCGAUCGUUUACAGCGGAGAAUCGCUUUGGAUACCUAAACCGCGACCGCGAAUGUCCGCCGCGGCUUAACUGCAGUAUAUUUUAUCGAGUGAUGCAGUUUCGAUGAUAAUAAUAAUAAUAAUAAUAACAAUAGAUCCGCGAUGAAUAAUUCAUACUAAAUUCCGACGACCCGAAUAUAAAUUUCUAUUCGACGAUGACCGCGUAGUCGACGUCGGCAUCGGUUCAAACUACUACACUAUUAUAUAUGUAUACUUACUGCGGUUAACGGGUAAAGUCAAACUUCUCCUAGCGAUAUUUUACCCGUAAUUUAAUAUUAACUCGUAUUCGAAUAUUAUUAUCGUUUUCGGGUAUCUCUAAUGAUAUAAUCGUUUGUUGUCGUUAGUUAUAAUUAAAGCACGGAUUGGUAUGCACCCGAAAUCCGUAAUAAAGCGGGUGAAAUCGACGAAAAUGCCCGGAAAAUAUCACUUGAAAAUAUUAGAAAAAACCAUAAGUGAUGGAGGGGUUUGAAAAUCCCCCUCCUCUAUUACAGUUUUUACUCUGUUAAAUAAAAUUGUCAAACACAAAAGAAAAAAAAAUAAUACGUUUAACACAAAGUAUUUUUAUUUUAUAAUUUUUUAUAAUAGUUAAGUGACAUUUUAUUUAAAAAUAAAUUGUUCUGUUUAUUAUUUUUGUAGUUUUAGAAAAUUAAUUUUGUACUAAGUUAAAGGGGUGAGAUGGUAGGGACCCUUAAACUCUUCUGCCACUUUUACUUUUUCAAAUAUUUUUUUAAAUUUUUUUUUGUGAACUUUAAGUGCAUAUAAAUCCGUUUCCUAGUCAUAAUAUUAAUCAGUAUUUUACUUUCGCUGACCAUAUACGACGAUACUCCGUUGCAUUUGCAGUCCAACUGUUGAAAAUUGAGAAUACCAAACGAGAACGAACAAGGCAAUCUAUCAGCUAUUUCAAAAACCACGCAUUAAAAGUGAUUAAUCAGAAGCAAACGUAUAGAAUGGACAGGCC
rnacentral:lncRNA from 1 species